CUACAUAUGUUUGGCCAUAGUAGAAUCAAGCUUAAAGCAAAUGAAAAACAAUAAAACACCUUGAAUCCUAGAUACCAAUGACAUGAUUCAUUUUGUAACACAAACUUCUGGAGUUGAACGGGUCCGCCAAAACCAUAACCAGAUGGCAGAUACUGGUAUCCCUAAAAGAAGUUGAUGGGCAAACUGCCUCCCGGAGGCAACAUUCGUUGCUGUUAUCAGUUCUUAAGAGACUUGGAUGAAUCACAAUAUCAUGGCCCUGUAUACUUUUGAGGAGAUUAUAUCAUCAGCUAUGAGAAGCUUGCUUAUUCUCUUUUGCUGCCGCCUCUUCUUUAAGUUUCUUCUUCCAGUAGUCAUCAAGUGGAGGUCCAAAAAUAGCUUUUCCAGAGACGACCCCAAUCCUGCAGAACAAAUCAUUCAGCAAUUAAUAUUAGAUACUUGAAUUGUGCAUGAAUUACAGAAUCAGUUAACUUGAUGAACAAAUGACUAAACUUUUAGGUUAGAGUGCUAGAAAGAGUUUAGGUCCUCAGAAUGGUGACUUCAUAACUUUUACAAAGACCUUGCUUGAUGCUCCAUCCAUUCUGGGAUAUCAAGACUAAUAAAUGGCUAUUAGGAAGUCGGGUCUGCGCCACUUUCUGUCACCCCAACAUUGGGAGAGAAUCUACGGCUCUAUUAAUAUCAACUUAGGACAUUGUCCACUGCUCGCAUCCAUCUACUGUAUUACCCGAAAAUGCUUCACAACUGCUGAAUUCUCCCUUUCAGUGAUUGUGCCAUAAAAGCUAAUUAUUAACAGCUUUAGCAAAAGGCUUAGUCACAACAAACAUGUCUACCAAAACAGCUAUGUAAUGCACAUGACAUCGGUCAAAACAGAGGUGAAGCCAGCGAGAAACACCCAAGCAAAUGCAGCAAGCCAAGCCAAGCGUCAAACAAAGGCAAUCAGGAUAUCAAAAAAUCUUCGUAUAGAAACUGAAUCUAGCAAGAUUCUCAAGGAAUACUGACUUCUCAACAUUCUUUCCACCCAAAAUGGAGGGUGAAGUCUGAAUAAUCUGAAGGCUGUUGUUCAACACAACAUACAGUCAAAAUAUUAAGUUUUUGUUAGGAUUUAAACCUGCAUUAAGAAUUUCACCAACACACUUGGACAAGAAGCACAGCUUUGGUUCCACCACACUUGUUAAGCCGUAGAUACUGAAAUAAGGUUUCCAUUCGCAAAAUCAUUUUAGAAGCACAGGUGUAUCUUCAAAGAAGCAUUUCCUACCAGACAAGCAAAUGACAAAUUGACUCUUUUUAACCGCAUAAAUGCAUCCCAACUAGUAUUCCCGUAUGACAAAUUCAACAGCACCCUCGAUUGAGUAUGGCCUGUCCAAUUUACCACAUAUAUCAGAAACAUUCUAAAACCUUGAGGGAAUUACUAACAGCACUGAAAACCUGUACGAGUUUCAUGUUGUGACACUGACAUCCAAAUACCAAGCAUCAAGCCUUUAAGAACCAUACCAGUCUCACUUCAUUGACCAGCACUAAAGUUCAGGGGUAUGACAUUCAGCAGGCAGUUCCUCUAUGCAAACUCAAAUUUUAACAGCAGCACAUAAUCUCUCAAUAUUCAAUACAUAUUACUCUUCGCUAUCUUCAAAAUGCCUAUGGUCUCCUCAUUUCUUUUCUACAUUUAUCAGAAAUGAUUUUAUCAGUGUAAAUGCCCACAAAGAGCAUGGAUCAUGUUUUCAUGACUAACCCAAGUUUUUAUAGGUAAUGCUACUUAUCUAAAGUUCCUGAUUACCAUUUGAGACAACACUGAAUUAAAGAGGCCUCUCAACAUGAAUAUCACUAAUCAAUACCAUCUAACUCCUAUUCAAGAAAAAUUGUCCUUGCUAGCGUGCCAUUGCAAAUCAGUUUAUUCUUGCCAGAGUGCCUAUACUUCACUCAUGAAGUCUAACCUCUCCCAAUUAAUACUGUGAAUUUAACCAUCAUUCUCCAAUAAUAACCACAGUUAGCAUUUGUUUAUUCUACGAAUUUUUGGGCACAACACCAUACCUCGAAACUUCAUGCCAUAAUAAAAGCAACAAAUUUUCACUGGCUUGAAAUUAAAUAGCUAUGACUCGUUCAGAAGCAUUCAGGGGAAGAAAAGGCAUAAAAAUUUCCAAUCUUGAAUCGCAGCCAAUUCACAUAGCAGGGGAGCACUCAAGCAAAUCUACACAUAGACAUACACAAAUUCAAGAAAAAAUAAGAACAAGGCAUGGAAGCUUACACAACAGCUCCGAUAACCAAAGGAAACGACAAAAACCUCCUUCUCCCGAACAUUUAUCAGGCUUUGGAUCAACACUUCCAAGCCGAAAGGAGACUCCGUCUUCCUCCUCCUCCUCCUCCUCUGCAGAUUUCAGAAAGUUCCUCUCUGACUCCUGACGCUGUUGAUGAUUCGGGCCAUCACAUAUUUUUUUUUAUCACCGGCCCAAUACUCUUUAUAAAUGGGCUUCGGUUUGGGCUCAGUGUGGUUUAACUUCAGUCCAAUUUCGUUUAUGUUCGUAAUUUUUCAUCUUGCUCGAAUUAUUUAUCCUACAUGUGUCUUUCUUUUAUUAUUGUGACUAGCAUUUGUGGCACAUGCAUUAUUUGGCUGACGGUUGCCAAAAAAGUAAGUGUAUCGAAUGAAAUGAGUAGAAAGGAGAGAGGGUGGAAAAUUACAAACUUAGGCCUUUUUUCUUUUUUUUUUUCUCCUUUUAGAUGAUGUAGUGUCGCAUUAAAUGGGGUAAAAUAUGUGAGUUGGUAGAUUUUUUUUCCAGCAUACCCUAAUAGGGGGGGUAGGGGGGGUGAGAUGCCAGCCAAAUUUUAUUAAAGUAAAAAAUUAAAAUUGAAGGGGAACAUACACCUAACCUUCCAUUACAUUACAUGACUCUUACUUGAAACUUUAAACAAGGAAUACUCCAAUAAAUCCUAAGAAACAUCUCAACUUCUACGUUAAUUUUGGAGUGGUCGGUUAAUUUUGGUUCAAAGGUUUAGAGGGUAGAGAAAACUUGUGUUAAACCAAAUCAAUUUGAAUUAUUAGAAAUUAAAGUGCAAAUAAUAAUAGAACACUUGAUGCAAUAUUAAAGGUGGCAUUGGAUUGGCAUAGAAAAUAUGUCACCUAGGAUCUCAAGUGGUGGCACCCCUCCAUAGAAUAAUUAAACUAAUGGAAUGAUACCCACCAAAGCAUUAUUAGUUGAAGCGGCAAGCAGUCAUUUGAUGAUUCAACUUGGACCGAUUGCAGGAAACGUUGUAAACUAUCAUUUGACCGAAUCUGGGUUGGUGGCUGGGCUUUCACAUGUACUACUACUACUUGCAUUCUCCCAUGCAAACCGUGGGAUUAUUAGGGCAAUAUUUCUGCAAUGGCCGCACCAUGUUUCCAUCUCCUAAUCCAAACCCCCCCCCCCCCCCCCAAACCACACCAAACCACAAAACCAAAAAAAAAGAAAAGAGCAACUUUGACUACUGCUGUUUCAGGAGAAUUUAAUGUCGAAGAUAGGUCUGCAACUGGACUACUUAGAAUCCAAUUGGCAUGUACACCGAAACAGAUCCAAAUUUCAUAAUGUAAAUGAACUGAUACUGGUUCAAUUGGUGAUAAACGAGUAAUAAUGGAACAGUAAUGGUAGCAACAUACACACUGACGAGUUAUCUAAUCUGCAUCAGACAUCAGAGGAGGGAGAGCUCCGCUGUGCGUGAAGAUAAGAUAUCAGGCCGCUGUUGCAGAGACAACAUUUCAUUUAGGUUCAGGACCACCUCCCAGAACAUACCCAAAUCCUUCUAUUCGCAUUGUAAGCCGCAAGGUUUCGGCUAAAUGUAUGAUGAGGUGAAAUGAAUGAAUUGUUCUCGAGGAACUAACGGCUGCAAUUCGGAGAAAUUUUUAUUGCGCUAAUAUUUAUUACUGCAACCAUUUAAUAGUAGUAACCAGUAGUAUAGUAAUGGUCAUUACUAGGUUGGAGUUACAAUAAUAAUGUCUCAACUGUCAACCAACCUCAUCAACAUCAACCUGUGACCUUGGGUACUUGCUUUAAAAUGUAGUUGUUUCCAUUAAAUUCUGAAAAUGAACAAACAGAUAAAAUGUUCCUUUCUUCUGUACAAUUUACUUCCAGUGCUGUGAUCCCUAUCGCUGUAAAAGUACGAAGCCACCUUGGAACAACGGAUCACUGGUGUAGAUGAGGAUCCAUAAAUAUGCAAUUACGUGUGAUUACUAUUCAGUAAUCAUAAAUAUUCCUUUAGUUGACCCGUGAGCUUUCAUUAAUUGUUGCUUUGGGCGGACUCUGAAACCGAAUGAAAUACUAAAGUACUCAACUUGAUUAUAUAGUAUAGCAAGGCGUCUCUGUUAAAGUUGAUUGAGUUACAGGUUAUGCCCCCGGAGGCUACUGGCUACGGUGUAUGUAUUUGGUCGAACGUUUUUUUAUUCCCGUUUAAUUGACUUUUGAAUCUAAGUCAACCACACGGAACUGGAGUCUUCAGAGUCAGCUCCUCUUACUGCUUUACCGACCUCCUUUUUUUUUUUUUUGGUAACUAACUUGCUAUUUAUUUAUUUUUUUCUCUUCUCUUUUCGGGUAGGUCAUUUUUUUCACCGGGAACAUCAUCAUCGUCUUUGGUAGUUCUUUUAGGUCGCGGUGUAUAAACGUAUCAAAGGCAACCAGCAGCGGAGAGAUUGUAUAUUUCAGGAAACCGAUCAUUCCUGCUAAAAAUACAGUCAGCAAAGAGAAGAAAUUGCUGCAAUGGAUGAAAGACUGUAAUUACAGGUGUUUCGCAUACGAAGAAAGAGAUAUUAUUCCUCAUUUCUAUCCACAAAAAGAGAGAGAAACUGAGAGAUCCUAAGGAAUUUAACGCAUCCUGAGUACAUGAGUCUGUUCAGAAAUCCAGGCACCAAGCACUAAACAGGCAGUUUUUAAUAGCAGUGGUCAGAAAUUAACUAGCAAAACAAGAUUAUACUUGAGCCAAGUCAAUCACGUCUAAUGAUCACAUGUUUUUCAGGUCACUGGAAUCGAAGUUUGCAUGAUCAUAGAAGUUGUACAAGCAGCUAUUUGCCUAUAGGUAACAACCAAAAAUGUCUUUCCUUGAAUUACUACGGCUUAUGAUUCUGGGUAUAGAUGUAAUCAAGAUGAGCAGCAAGAGUCCUCCUCAUCAAACAUUCUUCCUCCCCAACUCCUCCGCAAGUUUCUUCCAUCUCUGCUUGCUUUGCUUCUACCUCCUGCAGAAAUAAAUCGAAUACGAGCACCCCAUCAGAAAAAAAGAUGAGCAUAAAGACCAUCUCAGCAUGUCUGCAGAGGUGAAAACUUGAAAAACAGGGGAACAGAGAAUUAGACACUUACGUGUUGCUGAGUUUUCAUCAGGGUGGCAUCAACAAAAGCCGGCUCAGGACGACCAGCAAAAGAUAGUGACAGAAAGCUGAAAAGAAGGGCUACUGUGAAGAAGGAUACAAACUUAGCCAUGUUUUUGCUCGCUUCAAAAUAAGUAGUAUAUGUUGGUGGUAACUUGCUAGUGAGAGUUCUUAAAGACGCGCGCUGAGAAAGGGUCUGAAAUAGCCUGAAUAUAUAUAGCGAUUGAUGAUUGAAGGCCAACGCUGAAAGGUGGGUGUGAACUUGGAAGAGUAAAAGGGAGACUUUUAAUGCCGCCGAACAAAAUAGUGAAAAGAAGAAAAAUAAAUAAAUUGGAGAAACAGAAAUUCUAGACGACCACAGAAAUAACAAGGGGGAAAAAACAAGUCAGAAAACAGUUAAAAAUCCAAAUUCAUUCCUAAUGAUGGCUUUGUUUGUCGCAAAUUGGCGUAAGAAUAUAGGUGGUAGCUGACCAGAGUCAAAUAGAGAAUGAAGGUACAUGACAAAAGGCUCGGCCAAAUCUCCUCCCUGAAAGAGUGAUUUGGUGUUUGUUGUAUUCACGAGGGAUUAACAAUUUGAUAGUCAAGGUUAGCUCAUAUCACCAAAGAUCACUCCAAUUAUAUAUAUAUGCAAUAUAAAUGGGAGUGGCUCUCGUGAAGACGGAACUUUCAGUAAUGCAACGACGAAAUUAGUAAUACUUAUUUCGUUCCACCACGCAACUCGUGUCAUUGGCAACUUAUAUAUUUUUGUAACACUUCAUCAGGUGACGUAUUUGGAGGGGUUACUCUUAUAAAUUUCAUUUUCGUUUUAAAAAAAAAGUUUAUAAAAUUCCUUAAUUAAUGUGCCUUGUUUUUUUUAUUUAUUAUUUUUCAAGAUUUUAGACGUGAGAUGGUAUAUAGCAUGUUUGUUUUACUCGACAAAGUACUGUUCAGUUUCUUGGCUUCUGAUUCAUGGCGUGUUGCUCGGGUUUUUUUGACCCUCAAUUUACAGAGGAAAUCGACAAGGACAAGAAACAACGUUUUACAUGUAGUCCAAUGGCUUUUGAAAACCUUUGGUUGACAGUCACGUUCUAGAAUGUCCUGGAAAAGCUUUUACUCGUUUCCUGGGGAUGGUGGCUGUGCUGGAUCCUUGGUUUAACUCAUGAUGUCACGUUGAGGAUCACAAAGAAAUAUUAGGCUGCUGCAGACCUUUUUUCGUCAUGGAUGGUAGCUAAUUAUGUGGAUGAUAGACUAUAACCACUUAAUUAUGGGGAAAUUUCUAAUUUCUACCUGGUGCAUCAUUAAUCUCGGCCGUUGACCAAUUAAUCCUUCAUCUCCGUUUCUGAAGCUGCUGGGGUCGGAGAUUUCAUCAUUGCAUAACACAAUUUCAAAACGCAAUCCCAAAUUCUGAUCAGUCGUUCCAUCUUUACGCGAUUUAUACCAUGACAUUACGAUAAAUUACUAGCAGUUUGUUUAGCACUCUGACGAUAAACUUUAAGCUAGCUUAAAACGAGUCAAGUCCGUGUGCGUGUCUGUGUGGUGUUGGGGUUUAUUUGAUAGUAAUUUCCAACAUCUGCAGCACGAAAAAUCUUAAUCUAUAUCUGAGGUUAUUUAUUUGAUCCAGCCUGUGGACUAUAGUCACGGAUUGAAAACGAAAAAAAAAGAUGUCGUUGUUGUGAUCACACUCCUGACGUUUGCAACACCUAAAAAAUCGACCAGCUUUUGCUCGUCUGUUUGGGCGUUUUACGUUCAUUCAUCUUUGUGGUAGGGAUUAAAAAGUGCACAGCAGUGCCUGUUGUUCUCCAAACUAUGGCUGCAAUCGACUCAAGCAACUCGCGAGCGCUAGCAGUUUGAGUCAGAGCUCGACUCUAGGUCGAUCUACACUGAGCUCGAGCCGAGCAUUAAUAUAUACGAGUCGAAUUCGAGCAACUAUUUGUUAGGCUCAAUUACUCGACGAAUCACUUGAAGAGUUCGAGCUGAUAUAAAAUUACAAAAAACCCCUACAUCAAUUAAAAUCGAGUUGAUUUCGAGUUCGUCGCAAGCCAGAAAUCGAGCCAAACUCACGAGUCAGAAAUGAGCCGAGUUUGGACUUUCCUUUUCCUAAAUCGAAUCCAACUCGAGUUUUAAUUUUUUGACUCGACGAGUUCGAAUUCGAACUUGAACUCGCAUAUUGACAAGUCUAACUCGAUUCUACUCGUUUGCAGCUCUACUCUAAACUAGAAAUCAAAUUAAAAAUUUUUUAAAAAAAAAACUCUAAAUUGAAUUUUCAAAAAAAUCUCUUUGAAUUAAAGUCCGCUUUCCAGAAGGGGAUAACGACCGCACGAUUUGGAAACGGAUUGCCAUAUAGCAUUAGACGCAAUUUCAAGGUACGUGUUUGAAAUGUUAAAACAUCAAUCCUCCCACAAUUAAUGCACAUAACACCUAUUACUUUUAUACGGUACUUUAGGAGGACGUGUAUUUUGGAAUGUCGCACAAUCCACGCAUUUCCCCUAACAAAGUUCCCCACGAUCCAUUUCAAAUUUUCUAUGGAUGGCCCAUUUUGAUGUGAAUACUCAGAUCUGAUAGGCUUGAAGAGUAUGCUUCUUUUUUUUUUUUUUGGCUUUUGGGAUGUCUUGUUGGCCUUUUCAUUUCUGAGAGAUAAACAUCACUAAAGUUAAAAAUUACCGGUAAUGAAUAGUGAACAGCGUACGCAGACAAAAAGGAUGAAUAUUAGUCCAUCACGCAAGUUGCCACUAAUGAACGGCGUCGUUAUCAAAUCAAAGCACCAAUUAAGGCUUCGAAAGUACUACGGGUUCUUGAUUAACGAAUUCAUUCAAAGAUCAUACAUAGAUAGAUAGAUUCUGCAGAAUAUCAUAUGGUAAUAAUCAUGACUUCACAUAACUACAACUUUCUUCUUAAAAGAUUCUAGCUGACAUUGGCCCAAGGUAUUGCAACAAAAAUAAUCAUCAGAAUAGAAUAGGUCUAAAGCCGGGCUGGCAUGCCAAGUUGCCGACCGUUACCGCCCAUUAAAAGACUAGAAAUGCAUGUGCUACAACUUGUGCUAGUUCUAAUCUUUGUUGCCUGCUCGGCGCUGAUGGAUGGGAGAAAGCAUGUAGAUUUAUCGUUAUCAACAUGACUGUUGACCCAAAAAAGAAACGAAGAUUGUUAAGGGAAUAAAGUGGAGAACAAAGUGAAAAAAAAGAAAGAGUGACUUUGGAUAGACGAAAUUGGAAAGCUAUCAACCGAGAAUCGCAGGUGUUUGUGAACGGUCGGCGCUGCGUUCAAACUUCAGAGGCCCAGUUCUCGACCUGAUGAAGUCAAAAGAUCUUCUUGUUUUAAAUCCCUUUCGGCUGAAAAAGCAUAAUUUUGACCAAGUGCAUUUUCUCGCGGUGAAAUUAGAAAAUUACCCAACAUCUUUACAAGAUUUGGCCAUUGUGGAAUCUGAUUUCCUGAGGUUCGCAUGUACAAAAUUAUACCACGAAAUGCAGGCAUCCUAUCAUUGAAUUUUCCGAUAUUGAGGUUGAAUCAAAUGGUGCCACUGGUCUGUUAUGAAAUGGGAUCCCUGCAUAAUUUAUGGACACAAGAUUGCCCAAGCUGGAAGUGCAACCGUAUGUAGCUCUAUUAAUGAACUAAACAGAGAUUGGUUGAACCAACUAUUUUUGGAGUAGUUGGCCACAGAGAGAGUCUGGUUCAAGUCAAGGAAUCAAAUUUUUUGACUUCUAUUUUUCUUCAGAAUUUUCUAGAAGUUCACCUGGUGAUGGUUGAAUCCGGACUUCUCCAAUCCCAUAUACUCCCUCCAUUUCAUUUUAAUAGUCAUAGUUUUUUUUUCACACAAUUUUAAAAAAGUAGUUAACUUUAUUGGAAAACAAAUGUAAGUUGCUAUUUUUUUAAAAUACCCUUACAUUAAAUAGAGUACAACUUUAUAUUAAUUAUUUAUGAAAACUUGAAUUGAUGGUCAAGAAAGAAUCAAUCCUUAUCCAUAUAUUAAUAUAUUUUGAAAAAUCUACAUGUAUUAAAUGGGGUAGGUUAUAUUCAAUAAUAAUAUAUAUUAAAUAAGAUAAUUUAUACUAAUAACAACCUACAUUUAAUAUGAUUAUUUUAGAGAAAUUAAAAGAUAAUUAUAUUCUUCAAUUGAAAAGUAGUCUAUAAUUUGGGACAGGCGAAAAAAAAAGGACUAUCAAAGUGAGACGGAGGGAGUAUUUACGGACCGGUACUUUGUUACCAACUCUUCACUCUUUUAGGGCCGAAUAUGUCAUUUUAAGUACUUAAAUUGGAAAAAAAAAAAAAAAAGUAACAAGGUAGUUAGGAGUCUGAAACACUGGGAAGAUCAUCCGCAACUUCGGACCAAUCGAUAUAAAACAGGAGACAAGUCAGCAAUAGAAGAAUGAAUUAAGCGCGUACUUCUAGUAGAUAGGGUUACUCAGGACGAAGAUAGGAAGACUAGGAGCACAUGGAACAUUCCUUAAAAUUCCAAGCUUUUGCUUAAUUUAAUUUUCAGGGAUUGGGCUGAUUGACUUGACGCACUUGACAUCAUGAAACCCACGAUCUGGAUUGAAAUCUAGUGGACGUCCCCUUGCUUCUUGAGAAGAAAAUUCAAACCCACAUCAGAUACCACGUCUGCAAGGGACCUUCUUUUAAGAAAAUCAGAUUCCGGGUCGUAUUGCCGUUUAUAAAAUGUCUUUGAUGUUGUUCUUUCUUUGACUUUAGAUGAGCCAAUAAAUAUUCAUGUCUCCAUGCAUUUCUCAAAGCUUCAUCCAUAUUGGUAGGACCUAGUACUUUGCAUCGCUGACCAUAUAUUAUUGAGAUGUUUAUUCACGUGAUGGUAACCAUGAGAUGAAAUAUCGGAUGUCCCCGAACCAUGAAAUACCACCUUCCCGUCCUUCUCCAUCCCAGUUUUGUAUCACUGGGCUCUAGAGGAAAUGUACACAAAGAAUUGCAUAUGCUGAAGAUAGGGCGUUGUAACAUGCAUAUCUUCAUGCAUACCGUCCGUCAAAAGGGUGCUCGUAUUUCUAACCCAAAGAAGGGAUUAAAAAAAAAUGGGAGCUUGUAUUAGCACUUGCAAAUAUUAACAGCGCUUCUUUCAAGAAAUGUAUUGCCGGUGUAUGUGAUUACGAGUCUAAAUGCAUGCAUGUCGCAUAUGUAAAUUUUAAUAUUUAAAUUUAAAUUAAAAUAAUAUAACACGUAUUUAGACUUGUCAGCGUGCGUAUAUAUUCACGAUAUAAGAAGAAGGAUUGACCCUUAAAAAAAAAAAGUAUAUAAAGCAUACUCCUCCCAAAACAAUACAAUAAAGUUGUGAGGGGCUGAAUUGUUAAGAAGACUAAUGGCACCCAUAUCCACAUGUCUUUUAUCCUUAAGCUUUAGACUAGUUUUACAGUCAAAAACUCAUAAUAUAUCACACAAAAUCAAGUGUGAAUACGAGCUUACAUUGAUCGGAAAACCUCACUGUGAUAUCGUUGUCUCCUUUAAUCAAUGCUUCGUUCUCAGUAUUCAACUCUCUGCAUAAAUAUAGUCGUAAAGCGUUCUGGGUUGAUUGAUAUAAGGGACCCUUGAAGAUUCUUACAUGUGUAAAGGAGUUGGGCCAUGGGGUUAGCGUUCAGUUAUUGUCGUCUACGAUCUCAGUAUGUAUGUUCUGUGAUUGAUGGAACUCUGCGAAAUUUUAUCCACAGCGUUUUUAAGUUGGAAAAAAAAAGAGAAACGAAAAACCUUUUGCAUAAACUAAAUAGAAUUCUUCUUUCUUUGUUUUUCUCCAUAAAAAAGAAGAAAAGACUAACUGUGCUAAUAUACAAAAAAUUGUUAUUGGAUUAACGAUUAUGCAGCGUUGUUGUUGGGGAUGUGGGGCAUCUACUGGACCUGCUAAGGAAAGCCCAAGAACGCCAUUUUUGUACCGCAAGCCUUUCCAGAUGUAGUCUGUCGACUGCAUCGUAACAAACUUUUCUUCUUUGAGCCCAGCCCACUGGUUGCUAGCUCUAAUCUGUCUCUGUUAUCUGUAAUCCAUGAUGCAUAUGCUCCACUUUUUCCUUUUAAUUUUUUUUUUCCUUAGCAAGAGAAGGGUAGGAUUUAAGAUGCAGGAAAGGAGAAGGUUAAUUUGAACCCAAAACCUUUAAUUCCUGAAAUUUCAACGUAAUAUAUUCCACUUUUAUACCAACCAGUUACAAACUUACGAUAACUAUAUACGCUUUUCAAGAUUUUUAUUUGUAAUUUUCUUAGCGCAUAGGAGUUAAAUUCACUUAAAGCACAUAGAUGUAAGAAUGAUUGUGUACCGAAUUUCAUUGUAUCAUCUAUGCACUGUCCAGUCUACAAGGAACAUUUUGAUGAAAGACCAUCUAAAAGAUCAAUCAAUGUUUAGGCCUUGUUUGGAUUGCUAUUUUUUGUUAAAAAGUUUUACAUUUCUUCAUGAAUAUUUCUUUUAUGCAUUUUUCAAUCACUUGUUCAUUUCAUAUAUAUCACAUUCUCAAAAUGUAUUAUAGUAAUUUCAUAUAUAUUACAUUGCUAUUAUAGUAAUUUUUUUUUUCAAAAGAUAUUGACAAAUUACAAUUUAAACAACCUCUUAAUUUUUACUAUAAUUCUUCAUUUACUUUCCGUGACUUAUCUUGUAACUAGACCAAAUUUCAUCAGGAAUAUAUACAAAAUUUCUUUGAUCGACUCGAUUCCAUGUGUUAUCCCUUGCUUAAGGCCAUUUCUCUCUCUCUUUUUUCUCUUUAGUGUAAAUGGAAGAACUCGAAACCGAUACUUCUUACUCGCACUCCCUCUCCCAAAAUCACCCAAUCCAUCCUUAAGGGCCGUCUCUUAUUCGUUACUUACAGAGUGAUUAACCUCUCCGUCUAAGUAGCAUGGUCCACCUCUUCAGAUCAUGUACGGAGACUUUAUAAAAGAGUUAUAACACUAUACAAAACCAGUAUAAACGAAAAGGACCUCAUAUGACUCUAAAUUACAUUCCAUGAGUUUUCUGGUUUUUCCAGUAUAAACGAAAGAAAAUAGUUUGUAUUUGAUCCACACAAUAACAGACUUUUUCUUGUUUCAGCCCAGCCCACUGGUUGCCAGCUCCAUUCGUCAUCCGUGAUCCAUCUACUGAUCUAUUCCACUUAUAGUUUCAUCCUAGCAAGGCCCCUCCUCCCCCCUGCGGGCGAAGGCCAUACUAACAUGUUUCUUAUGCACUCUUCAAGAUUUCUUCUUAUUUUUACAUUUUUCAAGAUUUUACUUGUAUUAAGUUUUUCUUGCAUGGUGUAAAAGUCACUUAAAAAGUACGUACGCAAAGAAUGAUCGUGUAUCAAAUUUCAUAACAUGAUCCAUGAGUGGACCUACUGUUCUUGUCUAUUAGGAACAUUUUGAUGAAAUAGAAUCUGAAAGAUGAGUAAAUGCUUAGUCUUUACUGUUACCAGAUUCUUUAAUUAGUUUGCGUGAUCCAGGACCCAGGAUAGCUUCGAAGCUAUGUUUUAACUUUUUGAAACUUCGAUUCCAUCUUGUCCUGUAAUUAUAACAAAUUUCAUAAGGAAAUAUAUACAGAAUUCUUUGAUUGACUCCAUUCCAUGGGCUAUCCUUAACUUGAGGCCGUCUCUUCUUGGUUAUUUUUGGAGUCAUUAACCCUUUUGGUCUGAUUAUUACUAAGAUCAUGAAUAGGGUAUUUAGAAACGAAUCAUGCCAGUGUAUACACCAGCAUAAAAGAAAAGGACCUCACAUGACUCUAAAUUAUAUUCCAUGAGUUCUCUAGUGUUUUUUUGCCCCUUCCAGUCAGUUUAAUACAUCUUCUUGGAUACACUGAGUCACUUACGCAUGCACUUGUAGAAAUUAUGACGUUUUGGUCACAAGAGCAAGAUAAUACCCCAUUAUGAUUUACACUCCAGUAAUUGCAAAUUUAAGCACCAAGAUUAGCGGUGUGUUAUAACAGUCACGCUAUUCACCUAUAAUUUCAAUGACACGCCUCUAUAAUGAAUUUUAACUUGAAAAGCAAAAAAUAACUUUGUCCAGAAGAAACAUGAGCAUAUGGAAACUGCCUCGUUAAAUUACUUCUACGUCAUUUAAUUAAUUUGGCUACUCUUGGAGUCGCGAAGCCAGGAUCUUUCGUCUUCGUCUUCAUCUAAACAUUAAGUAAGAUACAUGGAGAAAAAUGUCAGCACUGGUGGCGGGUGCAGCCGCGGGAUGAACUUGUGCUGCUGCAAGAAUAGGCUGACCGAAUCUUGUAGUGAUCAGAAGAAACCAAUUGCAGGUUGCUGCCCUCCUGUGAUAAAAUUUAUUGACGGGUUGGCGGCACGACUGAUUACUGGGGUUACAGCCGCGUUUUUCACUUCGCUGGAAAGGUGUCAUUGCAUGUAUAUUGAGACCAAAGAUGAUUCUGACGAUGGUGGUACUGGUGGGCGGCCGUUGAUCGACAACAAUGUUCACCUGAAACCAGGGGAAUAAAUGCAUGGGAUUUGAUCAGCUGAAGUUCGCAAGCAAUUGAAGAAGAUGAUCUAUUGUAAGAUUGCUUGGGUGAAAUGAAAUCGUGGCUUUUACAUCGAUCCUAUUGUUGUGAUGUUCAAGAAUAUGAGUAAUCAAGAUUAGAUAAGAAAUGUAAUGGGACAGCUUGAACACCUUUUCCUGAUGCAUGGGAUAUUUGGUUUAAACAAAUUAUUUAAGAACCUUUUAGCAGUUUCUCUUCUUCAUUCUCAUCAAAUAUGGGUUGUGAAAUUCACGGUGGAAGUUCAAUUUUCUUCCUUUCUAUUCUCCAUGUAAAAAAUAGGUCACAUAGUAAAUAUGCUUUCUGGUCACACAAAAAAAAACAUUCAAGAAAGAGAUCUUUCUCAAGUUCUUAACUACGUAAGAAUUAAGAUGAAAAGUUCGACAAUUUCAUUGAAGAACCCAUUUCUGUUAAAAAAUAUGAACAUAUAUGUUUGCCAUGGAGUCCGCAGUUGUGUUUGCCUAAGAUGAAAAGUUCGGCUACUUCAUUGAAGAACCUAUUUCUGUUAAAAACAUAUGUACGUAUAUACAUAUACACAUAUACAUAUAUAUAUAUAUAUGUAUAUAUAUCUCCCCAUCCCAAUUGAAUUAGGUCCAAAGGCGGCUAUUGAUCUUGUUACUAACAAUCGUGAAAAUAUUCAUGAACUGGGCCCCCUCUUAUUUGACUGCAGGUACUUGGUAAGAUGGAUCCCCAACUCCAAGUUCGGCAUAUGCAUGGAAGCUAAUGUAGCAGCUGCUUUUCAUUCUCGAUAGGCCUUCCUCCAGUAUUUGUAAUAUUCUGGUAUUCGAUUUGGUAGGAGUUGCCUUCCCACCGCAUGUGAACUCUUAACUGGCUUAUGUUAUUGAAUAUAUUAGCUUUAGUUUGCCCUAUAUACAUAUAUAUAAAUAAGAAGUUGCAUUUUCUGAGGAGGACCCGGGAGGAAUGCUUCCCAUAUAUGGCCCUUGAUUCUGCGUUCUAGGCCCCAGAGAGAAGGUAAUUUUUUUUAGGCCAUAGCCUGAAAUUGUAACGUCUUGUGAAAUUGUAGGGCUUAAAGUAUAAAAUAUUGUAAAUACAAACCUCGUAGUGAGGGGGGAUGGGUAGAGUGAUUUGAAGAAAGAGAGUGUAAGUGAAAUUUUCGAAUAUGAAUCCUUCCACUUAUACUGAAAAAAAAUCUUUACAGUGAAAUUUAGACCCAACAAAGAAAUCAAUAAAGUUUAAACGAAUGAAGGCGAGACUGAUUUUUUUUUUAAUACUACUACUCGUUACAAGAUUCGAGUCCUAAACCUACGGUAGGAAGAACUCUACAAGACUGCCCUAAUCAAUGGGCUAACCCCAGUAAUUAUCUUGGUUGCAAACUUGGUCAAGCGGAGUUGAAUGUAUUAUUUUGGAACCAUCUUUGCCGCCCAGUUAUUUUUGGUCCAAGACAGAUUGGAAUUUGCCUAUUUGUCAUCAUGACUUCGUAAUACAACCAUUAUUUACCCUUACCCUUCUCGUUGCUGAGAUUUCAAAGCUCUGACUCUCUCUGUCUCUCUUUUCCCCGUUAAGCAAAGCUUUAAUUUAUUACUACUACUUGGCCUAAACCAAUUCCCUCUUCUUCUUCAUAGAUAUCUCAAUGCUUUCCCUUUUUUUGUUUUCUGGGUAGAAUCCAACAACGUAAAGAAGUGAAAUAUAUGCUAGCUUGAACUAACAAUUACAAUGAGCGUGGAAUCUGCUAGAAGAAGAUCGCGUCGGUGAUUCCGAAGCUCAAUUAUUUGUUAGUUCAAUCAAAUAGGACAACUUAAAGCUCAGCUGAUAUGAACCUGUAUGAAUGUAAUCGUAUAUCUAAACUCCUUGAUUGCUUCUUAGGGUAGUUCGCUUUCAAUCCCACUAUAUUCUGUGUUUUGUUUCUUUCAUCUUUGGUGCCUGAAGAGGCGAUUUUUGGUGGAUAAGUAAGCCGACCUAAAUCAGUCCUCUCUGAGAUGAGGUGAGGUGAAUUCGUGUGUCCGAAGUCAACCUUCUUGUCCGAAGUGAAUGGCGGGGCUUCUCCCCUGGUAUCACUCCGACGAUUAAGUUAGUAUGAGAACGAGAAAAUGCUAGAGUAUGAGCAAAUGAACAGUGUAUGCUUACUUGUUGGGAGGGUGUGGGGUAUUUAUAGAAUGAGAGUGGAGGGCAGGACGGAGGUCUUAUGCCGGUGGGACCCAUGUCCUGCCAUUACGGCUCUGCUCCCUGUCAGAUACCCUGACUCUGACACUGUAGCCGCCCGGACAGGGUGACGGGGAGUCCUUUGCAGUAGCCAUUAAGUGCAACAGUGCUUUUCAGAUAAAGCACACUGAUCCCGGGUGAUGUCAGGUGUCCUGACAUCAUUAGCGUGUAGCUGAGGUGAAGGUGCCGAGGUCACCUACCCGGUAGACUAGGGAUUUAGCCGAGCUUAGGGGAUAUCCCCGAGACGCGGAUGAGCUCUGAUGAAGGACGAGGUGAGUUCACCUCGGGCAUGAAGGAUGGCCGAGGUGAGCAUCCUCAAUAAGCCCCCCAAGCCUCGGGAGCUCCGGGCUAGGGAGGUUCCGAGGCUUCCUUGUGCCGAAGUUGUAGAGAGUCGGAGUCCCGAAACUGCCCCGGAAGAUGCGGGGACGCGACACGUGGACGUGUCAGUUGACAGGACGUGGUCACUGGUAACCGUCGCGUCGUGAAGUAGUGGGACGUUUCGUGCAGGGUGUCAGCCGAAAGGACGGGGCAUUAAUGAGGAUAGAGGGAGGCACGACGUUCUGAGUUCGAACGUGGCCGUCCUUUCGCAUUCUUGCCGCCUCUUCAUAUUCCGCCCAAACCCUUAUAAAUAGGGGGGCCCCCUCACCGCACUUCUCACACCUUUCAUUUUCAUUUGAGAUUUGCAAGUUCACGAGCGUAGCCGAGGUCAGUUUUUUCAGCCGAGGUCGGUCUAGUAGCCGAGAUCAAAGCCGAGGUCAUCCACUUCGUCCAACUCCGUAGGCAAUAGUAAGUAUUCUUCUUCUUUCUUACCUCAUCUUUCACCCAUGGCCAAAACAGCUAAGACCUACAAAGAAACCGUGACACCGAGUUACCGAACCGAGGUGAGGCCGGAUCCUGUAGAAGUGACGACGUCCAGCUCUGAUGGGUCGACGCCGAGCUCUGGGGAAGGAUCCACCGAGGAGACCCGCGAGGGGGUUGACGUCGAGUUGGAGUCAUCCGAGAUGAGCGAGGGUGGCUCCGAAGUGGCCUAUGAUGAGGAGCUCGGCGUCGAGAUACCACACGACGAGGACGCACUGGAGCCUGUCGCUCCCGAAGAUACAUCCAACAUCGACUUCGGCAAGAUGCCGAAGUUUAGGAGUCGCAUCGGAAGAGAUAGGGCCGUGAAGGUGAUAAACAAGUACCCUUUCCGGUCGGGGUACGAGAUCACACCGCCCGGGGUGGAUGACUCAGCCGAGAAGCCCCCCAUUGGCAUGGUGGCCAUCUAUGUCCAACAAUUGGAGGCCGGGCUGAGGAUGCCUACGUCGAGGUUCUUCAGGGAUCUGCUCCGUCACUUCGGCGUGAGGAUUACCCAACUCGCCCCGAAUGCGAUCCGCAUCAUUAUUGGGUUCGAGAUGCUGUGCCGACAUCAGGAGGUGACUCCGUCUGUCGACCUCUUCCGCCGAUGCUAUACCCUCAAGGCGCACGGGACAGACAAGGGAUGGUUCUAUGUUGGCAAUCGGAGCAAUGCCAUUCCGAAGUUGGUGGUCGGCGCUCCCAGCUCAAUCAAGAAUUGGAAGCGCGACUACUUCUUUGUGUCCGAAGUGGACUUCCCCAGGGGCUUUUGGUGGAGGCCAAUCAAAGCGAAGGCCGAUCCCUCUGCUGGGGAUGCCAAGGAGGAGGACUUCCAGAAGCUGAUGGGGUCGGGACUUCGGAUAUACAGUCUGGACUACCCCGAAGCCGUGCUGGUUGACGGGGGAAUUAGCCGAGCUUUGAUCCCUCCUGACAAGACUCCCUUCACCUCCACUAAACUUAAGAUACCUUGUAAUUUUCUUUCAUAGCUUUGAUUUCACUUCGGCUAAGGCACAUGAUAAUAUUUGCUCUUUGUGCAGUGACAAAACUGUCCGACCUCGUCGUCUCUGGCUCGUCCGAAGUGGCCAAGAGGCAGAAGAGGAAGAGCACUGACGAGACAUCGGCACCUCCGCCAAAGAAGAAGAAGUCACAAGGACCAGCCGCUAAGACUUCGGCGUCUAAAGGCACUCCCACCAAGGUUGGCCAGAGCAGCUCGGCCACGGCGACUGCUGGGUCCACCUCGUCUGUGCCAGAGGGAGUUCCCCUCAGAGUUGUUACAACAGUCACACCUCCUUCUGGCCGAGGCAAGCAGCUGAAGCCUCCAGUUAAUCCGGUGUCGGGGACCUCGCUAUGGAAUCGUUUCCAUAGCCCCCCAGUGUUUCCCGGAGACGAUAAGACGCACCCCGGCGGGCAUUGGUGUCCGGACUGAAAGAUUUCGGUCAACGACAGGUGCCAGCAUCCUCGGGUUGCCCAAGAACUAGUGAUGCACUCCCCCUUGCCGAGGGACUUGGAGUUCAUGAAGAAGCUGAGCCCGGCCGAGGUGGUUCAAAGUCUCAUGGUGUCCACAGCUUCCACUUCGGCCUUUGUGGCCGAGAUGGCACACCGCUACUGUGCUCUGGUCGAGGAACAGGACACCGGCAAGUUGCAGAAUCAAAUCUCCAAGUUGGAGAAAAAACUGUUGGUGUCCGAGUCUGAGAAGGCCGAACUUGAAAGGCGGCUUAAGGAGGCCGGGGUGAAGGAUGAGGAGGCCGCGGCUACUAUCAACAGUCUCCGAUCGGCCCUCGAAGAGGAGCAGAAGAGGGGGGACGAGGUGAAGGCGUCCCACGAGCAAGCUCUCGAGGGUGCCGGAGCCUCGGCCGUAGACGCUUUUCGGAAGUCCGAGACCUUCAUCAAGGACCUCGGCCAACUACUUACGCCUAACUUCAUGUUUGGCUUCACAUCGGCCGUUGACGAGGCCGCAGCUCACCUCUCCUCCGAGGCCUUGGAGUCCUUAAAAAACCAUACCAGCUACAACGAGGACUCCAAGGAGUUAUGCGAUCGGAUGGCCGAAGGCAUUCAGGCAGGAAGGAAUUUGGCCGAAGUCCAGGUCGAGUUCAACAAGUGGCUGUCCGAACUCGACGAAGUGUUCGAGGACGUGGAAGUGGAAGAAACUGGAGGAGAGGACGCUGAGGGAGACGAAGCCGAAGAGGACGUCGGCAAAGAGCAUGGAGAUGAAGUUCACCCCGGCGGAAAAGAGGCCGAAGAGAAGGAUGCCCAGGAGAGAGCCAAGACCGGGGAUGGAGCCGAGACGGGGGUCUAGGCUCGCGGUUUUAAGGGGGUGGCCGAGGUGGAGAGUGCUUAGUAGCAUUCGGACCUCGGCCUUGUACUUUGUAACGCUCUUUCUUAUUGAAUGAAAGCAUACUUCUUCUCGUCUCAGUGCUUUAAUUUCUUGCUUUGACUUCAUCCCUUGCUUGUCCCCCUUAUUUUUUAAUAGCGUAACAACGAUGUUGAAGAAUAACAUAAUAGCUGAAGUCAUUACUUGAUUAAAAAUUCAGGCGUAAUACAAUCUGAGGUUCUCGGCCUGCCAAGACCUCGGCACUAAUGAGCCAUCUCGGUAACUCAGUUUACAAUACCCCUUAGGGUCAGAUUCCACAACUCGGUAAGGGCCUUCCCAUUUCGGGCAUAAUUUUCCUUGCGGUUCAGCUCGGCUGACUGAGUUUUUUCUAAGAACCAAGUCUCCAGCCUGGAAUCUACGAUGUCUCACGCGGGCAUUGUAGUAGUGUGCCAGUGUGUUCUUGUAAGAAGCUAUCCGGGCUGAGGCGAGAUUCCUUCGUUCUUCGACGAGGUCGAGGUCCAGCUGCCUCUCUUCGUCGUUCACCUCGGCGGCAUAGGCUGCCAGCCGAGGGCUGGGGGUAAGGAUCUCAGCCGGGAUGACCGCCUCGGCGCCGUAGGUCAGGGAGAAUGGGGUUUCUUGCGUCGCUGACCUCGGCGUGGUCCGAUACGACCACAAGACACUGGGGAGUUCCUCCACCCAAGAUGACCCAGUUCGGUGUAGUCGGGUUCUGAGACCAUGUAGAAGAGUCCGGUUGAAGUUUUCUGCUUGACCAUUGGCCUGGGGGUGGCCUACCGAAGUGAAGUGUUGUUUGAUGCCGAGGUUCUCGCACCAAGUCUUGAACGGGUUCUCGGCAAACUGUCUCCCAUUGUCCGAGAUGAUGACCCGCGGUAUGCCGAAGCGGCAGAUAAUGCACUUCCAAAAGAAUUUUUGAAUGGCCAGCCCUGAGAUGGUCCGAAGUGGCUCGGCCUCGACCCACUUGGUGAAGUAAUCCACAGCGGUUACUAAGAAUGUAUAGCCCCCGACGGCUUUGGGGAAGGGACCUAUGAUGUCUGUCCCCCAUUGCUCAAACGGCCAGGGUGAAGUGAUGGGGACCAUGAAGUUUGAAGGCUGGUGGCGCUCGGGUGCGUGGAUUUGGCAGGAAGGACAGCCGAGAACGAGGUCCUGGGAGUCUUGCCGAAGUGAUGGCCAGAAAUAUCCCAGGAGCAUAGCUUUCUUGGCUAGCAUCCUGUGGCCGAUGUGAGCCCCACAUAGGCCCUCGUGGAUCUCGUGGAGGACCUCGCGUCCUGCCUCGGGGGUGACACACCUCAACCAUGGGCCGAGGUAGGAGCGCUUAUAUAGUUCUCCAUCGCGGAGUGCAUACCGAGCGGCUUUGCGCUGUAUCUUCCUUGCUUCAGCUCGGUCUUCGGGAAGGACUCCUUGACCCAAGAAAAGGAUGAACGGGGUCAUCCAAGUUUCUUCACAGUGCACGGGGCAGGCCACCUCUUCCACGUACCCUGGUUCACUCAGGACCUCCACCAAGACGGUUUUGUUGAGGUCAGAGAAUGAAGUGGAAGCCAGCCGGGAUAAGGCGUCGGCUCGCUUAUUCUGGGACCGAGCGAUCCUUUGGAUUUCGAAUGAUUUGAAGUACGCGGUGAGUUGGUGAACUUUGGAGAGGUACCGUUGCAUGGUCUCAUCCUUGGCCUCGUACUCACCAAUAACUUGGCGUACCACGAGCUGGGAGUCACUGCGGACGUGGAUUUGCUGGGCGCCGAGCUUGCGGGCUAGCUGGAGUCCAGCGAUUAGAGCCUCGUACUCGGCUUCAUUGUUGGUGGCCGGGAAGUCGAAGCGGAGGGCGUAAGAGCAAACCUCCCCCUGAGGUCCUUCCAGGAGCAGUCCGGCUCCACAGCCGUCUCCAUUAGAGGAUCCAUCGACAUACAAUGUCCACAAGGAUGAGAUGGACACCUCGGGUAAGGCUGAGGUGGACUCUGGACCUUCCGUGAAGGUGAGCUCAGCAAGGAAGUCAGCUAAAGCUUGAGCUUUUAUGGCGGUGCGUGGCUCGUAGGACAAGUCAUAUUCUCCCAAUUCGACAGCCCACUUGGUGAGGCGACCAGAAGCUUCGGGUCGCACCAAUAUUUGCCGAAUGGGCUGGUCGGUCCUUACCGAGAUGGGAUGGGCUAAGAAGUAGGGUUUCAACCGCCGAGCUGCGUGGACGAGCCCCAGCACAAGUUUUUCCACUUGCGUGUAUCGGGUCUCCGGCCCGCGGAGGGCUCGGCUGACGUAGUAGACCGGCACUUGGGUGCCCUCAUCUCGGAUGAGCACAGCGCUGACAGCCUCGUCGGCUGCGGAGAGGUAGAGGUAGAGCUUCUCCUCGGGCCGAGGUGAAGCGAGAGUUGGUAGGUGAUGCAAGUACUGCUUCAGCUGGUCGAAAGCAGCCUAACACUCCUCAAUCCAGGCGAACUGGUCAGCAUUUUUCAGCACCUUAAAGAAAGGCAGAGCUUUCUCGGCUGAUUGGGACAGGAAGCGAUUCAGCGCGGCCAGGCGUCCAUUUAGCCGUUGGACUUCUCGGAUGUUCCGGGGUGGAGACAUGUCCUAAAUGGCUUUCACCUUGUCGGGGUUGGCCUCGAUUCCCCGGUGGGAAACCAGAUACCCCAAGAAUUUUCCCGAGGUGACGCCGAAGACGCACUUCUUGGGAUUCAGCUUCAUCCUCGAGUCUCGCAGGACACCCAAGACUUCCCUCACGUCUAACAGAAAGGAUGAAGUGGCGAGGCUUUUAACGAGGAUGUCAUCCACAUAGGCCUCCACAUUGCGGCCGAUCUGAUUCUGGAAGAGUCGGUUGAUCAGCCUUUGGUAGGUCGCCCCGGCGUUCUUUAGCCCGAAGGGCAUGGUAGUGUAACAAUAAGUACCUCGGUCGGUGUAGAACGCCGUUUUCUCUUGGUCCUCCUCACUCAUUCCUAUUUGAUGAUACCCUUUGAAGGCAUCUAGGAAGCAGAGGAUUUCAUACCCCAUCGCCGCGUCGACGAGGGCGUCUAUCCUUGGCAGAGGAUAGCAAUCUUUGGGGCAGGCCUUGUUGAGGUCGGUGAAGUCGACACACAUUCUCCAUCCCCCGGUGUCCUUUUUUACCAUGACUGGAUUGGACAGUCAGGUGGGAUAUUGGACCUCGUGGAUCAUCUUGGCCGGCGAGAGCUUGUCGACCUCAUCCGAUAUGGCUUGGCUACGUUCGGGGCCGAAGUGCCUUCGUUUCUGUCGCACAGGUCGGGCCUGCGGGUCAACGUUGAGUUGGUGAGUCAUGAGCUCGGGUGGCACUCCGACCACUUCAUCCGCGGACCACGCGAAGAAGUCUCGGUGGUCUUUGAUCAGGGAGAUCAUUUCUUCUUUCAGGGGUGAGGGUAGUCCAGCCCCUACUUGGACCACUUGGUCAGGUUUCGCUUCAUCCACUACCACCAGUUCCACCUCAUCCCCGGGCUCCAGCCUGUUGGGCUCUUCUGCCUUCUGAGGGUCGAUGCAGUCUAUGGAGAGGACCGCUGGCCUCUUUUCUUCUGACCUCGGUGAGGGCCGGGGGGUGACUGCUGCUUGAAUGGUGACGAGGUAGCAUUCCCGGGCGGCGCCCACAUCGCUGCUUAGCUCGGCCACCCCCGCAGAUGUUGGGAAUUUAAAGCUCAGGUGGUAGGUGGAGUAUACGGCUCUCAAGGCAUUGAGCGUGGGCCGGCCUAUCAGCAUAUUGUAGGGGGAGUCUGCUUUGACCACCGCAAAACUGACAGGCACAGUUCGGCAGCGUGGAUGACGCCCGAUUGUUACCACCAGGGUCAACAUGCCUUCCGGGUGGACGACGUGUCCCCCGAAUCCCACGAGGGGAGUCCUGACAGGAGUGAGUUGCUCCCUGGUCAGUUUCAAACUUUCGAAAGUCCGGUAGUACAAGACGUCUACCGAGCUUCCGGGGUCUACGUAGACCUUUUUGACUACGUAGUUGUUGGUGAGGACUUCAAUCACAAGAGCUUCAUGAUUGCUGGAGGCCGCAGGAACGGGGUCAGCGGGACCGUAGGUGAUGACCUCAGACAGCCGAGAGCUCGGCUCGGCCACCUCCAUCUCGGCCUGGCGGUAGGUCCGCUUCCGGGAGUUCUGGCUGUCUCCUCCCGUUGGUCCUCCCGCGAUGGUGUUGAUCACCCCGGCGAUGUUGGGGCCGUAGCCCGGUGAGCCAUCGCGUGGGGGCUGCUUGUCCUCCCUACGGUCUUCGGGAUCUCGGCAAUGCAUGUUCGUGUCCCGUCGGUCGUCGCGGCGAGGGCCCCGGUUCUCCCGGUGGGAGACACUUCGGUUGAAGCCUCCAUCCUUGCGGACGAAUUGCUUCAGGUAUCCUUGCCGGAUCAAAUUUUCGAUUUCCCGCUUCAGGUCGUUGCAGUCUUCAGUCUCGUGCCCUACAUCACGGUGGUAGGCACAGUAGAGGUUCGAGUUCCUCUUAUCUCUCCUCCCCGGAAUUUCGGGAGGGUUUCGGCCGAGGUGAUUCUGCCUCAUCACAGCCAGGACGUGGGCCCGGCUCGAAUUGAGGGGCGUCAGCUCGGCGUCCGAGGUGGACGAUCUGCCUUUCACGAUCCGGUCGAAGACACUUCGGCGGUCUCGGGGUUGGUUUGAAGUGCCACUUGGGCCUGGUUCACCUCGGCCAGUGUCUUUCCUCCUUCGGGGAUCUUGCCCCGUACGAGAUGUUUGGGCUUCUCGCUUCAUGCGAUUUACAUCUUCACUUCGGAUUCCCUGGUCCACCCUUUCCCAGAGCUCCCGGAGUGUACGGGGGUACUGCCGAUGGAUUUCGGUGUUAAAGAUCCCUGCUAUUAACCCGUUGGUGAAAGCAGCAAUAGUUACCUGCUCGUUCUGGUCAGGUAUCUGUACAUUCUCCUCGUUGAACCUUUGGGCGUACGAGCGAAGUGACUCGCCCUGACCCUGUUGCAGGUUCAAGAGGUAAGCUGAAGUCUUUGUUAUUGGUCGAGACGACACAAAGCGGUGAAUGAACCGGUCUAUCAGCUCAUCCAGGGAGGAAAUGCUCCCCGGUUCUAAACUCCAGAACCACUUCCGGGCGGUCCCGUGCAGGAAGAUGGGGAAAGCCCGACAGAUCACGGCGUCGGGGACGCAGUAGAGUCGGAAUGCGGAGAUGAAGGCGCGGAGGUGAUCCUCGGGGUCACCUCCGCCGUCAUAGGUGUGCAAAUUUGGAAGCUUAAAGUUCGGGGGCACCAUUUCCCCGUUGAUGUCAUCAGUGAAGGGCGGAGCCCUCAUGUAAUCAGAAGCUAGGCCUCCGGGACGCCGAGGUGGGUCCUCGGCUCGUUUUCCCAGUAGUCCCCGAGAAAACGCUCGGGAGAUGGAGGCAAUCUUGGAGGUUGCCUUGGAUGAGGCUCGCCUGGAGGUGCUCCGAGAUAGACGCCCAUCUUCGGAGUCCUCGCCUGAGGGCACUUCAGGGGACUUCGUCGGUCUCCUCUUGGAAGACUCGACUUUUUCUUUUCCCUGCCUCUUGAGGUACCUUCCUAGUUCCUCAAAGAUGUUGGGGUUGUCCGUGACAAACUCGGCCAUCUUGGCGAUGGCCUCCUCAUUGUUGGGUUGGGUCCUUUGGGACCCAUGUUCCUCAGAGAUACGAUCUUGCUGGGCUCCGGAUGUCUGCCCAGCCCCAGUUGAGGGAACUCUUCCGCUUCUGGAGCGCGUGGAUCUCAUUUUAGCAGUAAUCUCGUUUCCACAGACGGCGCCAAUUGAAGAGGCGAUUUUUGGUGGAUAAGUAAGCCGACCUAAAUCAGUCCUCUCUGAGAUGAGGUGAGGUGAAUUCGUGUGUCCGAAGUCAACCUUCUUGUCCGAAGUGAAUGGCGGGGCUUCUCCCCUGGUAUCACUCCGACGAUUAAGUUAGUAUGAGAACGAGAAAAUGCUAGAGUAUGAGCAAAUGAACAGUGUAUGCUUACUUGUUGGGAGGGUGUGGGGUAUUUAUAGAAUGAGAGUGGAGGGCAGGACGGAGGUCUUAUGCCGGUGGGACCCAUGUCCUGCCAUUACGGCUCUGCUCCCUGUCAGAUACCCUGACUCUGACACUGUAGCCGCCCGGACAGGGUGACGGGGAGUCCUUUGCAGUAGCCAUUAAGUGCAACAGUGCUUUUCAGAUAAAGCACACUGAUCCCGGGUGAUGUCAGGUGUCCUGACAUCAUUAGCGUGUAGCUGAGGUGAAGGUGCCGAGGUCACCUACCCGGUAGACUAGGGAUUUAGCCGAGCUUAGGGGAUAUCCCCGAGACGCGGAUGAGCUCUGAUGAAGGACGAGGUGAGUUCACCUCGGGCAUGAAGGAUGGCCGAGGUGAGCAUCCUCAGUGCCCAAACAGAUGGGCAUAAGAAUAGUACUUUUCUGCUGGUACCUCUUAACGAGGAGAAGAAAGAUGCAGAUAGUCCAGGUGCAUGCAAAAGACAGAAGAAAAGAAGUCUAAUCAUGUGAAAUUUGCUACUCCUACUAAAGUGAGGGGCCAAAAUCACCAGCUUCUGCCGCCCAAAGUUUGACGUUAAACAUCUAGAAAUGAGAUAGUGAUGGCCCAACCAAAACUUUUUCCAAUAUUAAUUAGUAGACUAAUCACUUUGUUACGUUGAUCUGUGAAAUCAGUUGUGUGUCUCGAAUUGACAACACCAUCUCAAAGCUAGCAAGGAUGCGCCUAACACUCUUUUAAUAUUGAUUAAUAUUGCCCCCAAGAAAUUACAAUUAGCGUCUAAGUUAUCCCUUUCGUCACUUCUACAAAAUAUUGGGUGAAUUUUGUCUGUUGUUUUUUUUUUUUUUUAAAUUUUGUCAUUGUUGUUAUUAACAGAGUAUACGAUUAACAAAUAAUUAGAACCCAAAUUCAGUGCUAGUUAUAGCAACCUGCCAAUAAAAAAAAAAACAGAGAAAGUAAUGCCAUCUUUUAUUACUAAAAUACUUUGUUUUGACUGCGUCGCAUUAUGUAUCAUUUGCUAACCUCCAAAUCUUCUACCUUUGAUUCAAAUUUAAAUCAAAUGGAGGAAAUCUAAAGAUAUUUAUAUAUUGAUAGAUCUCAACAACACGGUUUUCUAUAUCUACUUAUCUUUCAGGAGUAUAUUCAUGCACUUGCUCAUGAUCCUAGUUUAAACCGACUGAUUUUGUUAGAAAAUCUAGUUUAUGAUAAUAAAUCCAGAUUCCUAAUUGUGAAAUAUUUAAUUACUCGAAUUUAUCAACAAAAUCAUUUUAUUACUUUUGCUAAUAAUUUUAAUCAAAAUCUAUUUUUUUGGUCACAACAAGAAUUUAUAUUCUCAAACAAAUAUUAGAAGGACUUGCAUUUAUUAUGAAAAUUCUAUUUUAUAUACGACUAAUAUCUUCUCAGAGGGGGAAAAGGGUAUUAAAAUAUCAUAGUUUAUGAUCAAUUUGUUCACUAUUUCCUUUCUCAGAGAACAAAUAUUUGUAGGGGGAAAGGACUUAAAUCGAAAUAAAAAUUCGUAGGGACUCAAAGCAAACUCUUUUAUAUACUUUUUUUUUAACCUAAGAUUUUGUUGUAGCUAUGAAAUUGCUUUUAACUAAAUAGUCAUAAAACCUCCUUAUUACAACUUCUCUCGCAAGUUUGAUGAAAAUUUUUCUUCGGAUUGUUAUUCUAAUAAAUUUCACAACUCUUAAAAGAGACGUGCUCUGUGGUGUAGGCUGCGCUGCCGUAUUAUAUUCUCCAUUACUUCCAAAAUAAUUUACUAACUUGUUAUUACGUACGCUAUAUGUAAAGUAAUUUACUACUCCUACACAACUUUGUACCAAAAAGAGAAAAAUAAUAAUAAUAAUAAUAAUGAUAAUUAAGGAGGUAGUUGAACUCUUAUAUCCGCUAUGAACCUUUAUUUAGUGACAGCAUUCUUCUUAUUACUGUUCUUUCACAUGAAUGCUACUUGCAGUUCAUCCAAUAAACAACACUAGGAUAUUCAUUCGGGCCAUUUUCACUUUCGUCAUAAUAAGUAUAGAAGUGAAGUUUAAAAGCCAUGUACAGUAUAGCCGGUAGCUAAGCUAAACUAAAGUGUGGAAAAAUCAAACAGAAAGAAUAUUCUUGCGUUGGUUUCAAUGAAUUAGCUAGGUGACACUGGAAUAUGCCAAGGUGCAUACUAUAAAGUGCAUGGAAGGCCUUAUGAUAUCUUAUCACAACCGACGCGUCUGUAGGUCAAUGGCGUUGUACAUUAAUCCCUUGACCUGGGAGAGAAAUAUAUGCCAGAGGAUGAGAUAAUAGCAGCAGUGUAAAAGGAGAAAUUAAUCAAACAUUUGCUUCCUUUUUCUGUGUAUGGAUUAUGAGACUAGGGCUAUCAAUGCUUUUGCUUGUCGGCCUCAUGGUAAGCAUUUUGAUUUGAGCGAUCAAUCAGAUUAAUAGCCAGCUGUUUAGUCCUCAUGAAUCAUGACCAUUCUAUUCAACUGUAGAUUCCCACCCUAAAUUUUCUAAGCACUCUAGCUUAAUUUAAUGAAGCGAAAGUUAGUUAGGUAUGAAUGUAUGAUGUUGAACAAACGAACAUUCAGAUUCUUCAAGGACUUUUAAAUUGCUGAUAAAGUCCAUCCCGAUGCUUAAUCUGUUGAUCAUGUUCAGGUUAACUCUCUGUUGAAUUAAAGUACCGCGCAAGAAACAGGUGAAGGGCAUCUCUGCUAUCCAUUGCUGAACAGUCCAAUCAUCGUUCUUGCUGGAGAGAUGCCAUACAGGAGUAAAAAAUAGCUUCUCGCAGAUCAGCAGUAGCGCAAGAGUAGAAACUUAUGCUGCCCAAUUAAACACACAAAACGUUCUACCCACCCCCAUAUCAUGUGAAUGCCUCCUCGUACAAGACUUUCAUCCUAUUUAUGUAUAUAUAUGCUAGGUAUAGAUGAUUGAGCUACACAUAUACAUACAUACGUACAUGUGUGUAUAUAUAUAUAUAUAUAUAUAAUUCUCAAGAAUGUGGUCAGCUUCCAGAAGAUGGUCACGGCUCCAAUUCUGGCAGGGUUAAACAUAUAGAAAAGCCACAAACAUAAAUCGUACUGUAAACAAAAGGCCAGCCAGAUGUAUAAAAUAAUUCUCAAGCACGCAUCAAACUGGCACUUUGCUAUUGUACUUAUUGACCUUUUUAAUCACCUCAAUAAGCUAGCAUUAUUGCCUUGCCUUUAACACUUACUAUUAGUUGUUUAAUUUUAGAUGGCGAGAAUGGAUAGAAAAGUUUCUGGGUAAAAGAUACACCUACUGAACCAGUACGGAUUAGUAAACAAAAGAGAUUAAUUUGGACCAGGCACGAAUUAAAAGAUGGAUAAGGCUUAUUACUCUGCUGCAGAUUGCAAUAAAUCUGAUGUUCUCAUACAUACAUGAUCGCUUUUGCAAAUGCUUCUUGACGUAACCGUUGCUUAUACUUGCGGCAGUUUAUGGAAGGUUGCUUGCUACAUCUUGUUGCCGUCACAAUUCGUAUAACAUACUUUAAUACUACUUAUUUAUCUCAUCAACUCAUAUUGUGGCUAUUAUUUUCUUGAAGUCAACUCCUAAUACUACUUGAGACAUGAUAAUUUGAUUAGAUAUUAUCUGCAACACAAGUGCCCUUGCUCCUCCUCUCUAUUAUUUUCUUUUUUUUAAAAAAAAAAAUUAUGUUUAUUCUUUCUUCUCAUAAUAAUGAACUACUGAUUAUUCUUUAAUUUGUCAUCCAUAUUAUAUAUAUACUACUCCUUAAUUUAAUUGUCUAGAAAGAAAUGUUACGCUGUUGUAUUUUACUACAAUUAAUACAAAAUAAAGUUUAAUAAUAGGAAAUUGCUAAAUUCAUCACACCGCUCUAUCUCUAUCUCAAAUGCAUGCACAACUUCGAUGUAUUGAUGAUGCCUCAUAACAUUAGUACCAAAAUUUGUACUUAGUGUAAAUUUAAAAAUAUCGAAAUUUUCCUAUUUAUAAAUAACCUGUUAGCCACUGCUUCCUGGUUCCAACUGAGUUAUAAUCAUCAUAUUUCAAGUGAAGAUUGUUCCAAAUAUUACCAAAAAUUUGAGUCAUAUAUUAAGCAUUUUGUGCUCCCGUCAAAAGAUAAAUACACACUAAUCCUUUUUUUUUUUUUUUUUUUCUCAGUAACACCGCCAUGGAGCCUUGCGUUUGCCAUUAAUCUAGCGAGCAAGUGGGACAAAUAUUUCCGCAGCCAUUGGUCAACUUCCCAAAGAUAAUUAAUCUGAGUUUUUCCACCAUAGGAAGGAUCGUAGGAGGUCACGAGGGAUCUGAAAUACAUAAACAGUUGAUGAUGGUGACUUAAAUCACUCUAUUAUUAUUAAUUAUUGAAAUACUAAGAGUGAGUGUUAAUCUUAAUGUCGCGUGGUUGCAUAAUUGGAGAAGUCGAGGGACGUCACAACUCAUAGGGACCAGGAGCCAUGAGCUGAGAACGACAAAUACGGCGCGCCAAGCCGAGCCCAAACGAAUCAGGCCCCCGAAAUCCUCCACGUUGGCACCUCCCUUCCAACACUACUGCCUCCCCUCACGCUCAUCCAUCGGUUGCUUGACACGUGUGACAACAGUGAUCCCACCUGCUUUGUUUCUUCAUGACUAAGCUUGAACGUGUGGGACCCGCCAGCUGAUGUCACCCCAUGCACUCUUUUUAAAAAGCCAAAACGCUACCCCACCCCGCUAGUGCCACCUGACUCAAAAGUUUAAUGCCUAAACUUGGGCGGCUGUUUUUUACCAAAAUGUCCCUGAGUGGACCACCAUACAGCCCCUCAGGCUCCUCCUUAAAUACGAGCCUCCUAGCUCUCGUUCCUUCCCUUUUCCCCUCCCACCUUUCCUCACUGCUCCAUUAUUGAUUUUCCGGCCAUGUUGUCCGCCGACGGUCUGUUCGGAAACCCUUUUCCGGCUUUUGAGAGUGGUUUCCCUCCUUGGGACUGCCAAGAACCACCUUUUGUCUUUCCACAACAUGAUGACCCGAUUCUUUCCCCACUAGAAGAACUACGAGUAGAAGCCCAAGAACCGGUAAUUUCUAAUUCCGGUUCGGAAACCUACACUCCGCCCCCGCUCGAUCCAACCGGACAGGCUAUUUCCAUUUCGGGUUCAGAAAACUAUGAUCCAACCCCGCUUGAUUCAUCUUCCGGUUCGGAGGAACCGAACCAAAACAAUAAAAGGCCUUACUCCGGUUCAGAUGAUACCACGAACCCAGCCGUUGAUUCUGCCGCAGACGAGCGAAAGCGCAGGCGCAUGUUAUCGAACCGGGAGUCCGCGAAGAGGUCCCGUAUGAGGAAACAGAAACAUCUGGAGAACUUGAGGAACCAAGUGAGUCGGCUUAGAAUUGGGAACCGGGAACUAGUGAACCGGCUACGUGUUGUUACCCAUCACUGCCAACUGGUGAGGACUGACAACGACCGGCUCCGGUCGGAGUCAGUCAUCCUCCGGCAACGUCUUUGGGACAUACGUCAAGUGUUGCUGGUCCGGCAACUUCAGCAACAGCUGGCUACCUCUGCAUGGCCAUGCAAUAAUCUUACGCCCAUGAACGAUGAAACUAUACCGCAACCAUUAAUCACAUGACCUUAAAGAAUCAUUAAAAACCCGCUUCACAUAAAAGCUACUAAAACCGAAGAUAUGCAAGAACCCCGACACAUUUCUCUGUCCGUCUCUCUCUCUCUCUUCCCUCUUCCCUCUUUUGCUCUCUCUUUCUCUGUAAAUUAAAGCUAAUAGAAGAGACGGAUAGGUGUUACUCUUGAGCUAUUUUUAGACAUGGGGGACGUUGGAGAAAAAAGAGUAGUAGUCUCUUUUUUCUUUUUUCGUUUUUUGGCUACGCCAGCAGAAUCAUCACUCUGUAGAGAGUUGUCCAAUGUUUGGCUAUUGCUUAUCAGUAAAUUAUAAUAAUCGAAAGUCUUCUCAUUGAACUUCUCUUGCCUUGCGUAUUUCGUACCAUACUAUAGAUCCCUGGCUAAUCAGGUCUUAACUACAACGUUUUGCAAAUUCUGUGACUGACCAAAAUAUCAUCGACAUCGACUCGUUUGUGACUAUCGUAUGGCGUUUUUCUCCUAACCUUACUUCUGACAAUCGGUGAAUAGAACUAGUAUGGUAUGUCUUCAAUUUAUAUGUUGUCACUAUCGCGUGGAAAUCGAGUACAAAUGCUAUUGACGGAGUAACACUGCUCUGAUUACGACGGCUAAUGGAAUCGGGCAACUUAUGGGUGCUAUAAUUAAAAGGACGCUUUAGCGAAGAAACGAUAAAGUUCUUCAUAAUGAUUUUCAUUUCAUCCGUGAAGAAAGAUGCCGACUCACAAGAGACCAUCCAAGUGUAUACAAUAGCCCAUUAUUAGCCGUCCUCAUCAAGCAAAUUAAUUAUAACUUAUUAACACAACCAGAACAAAUGUUCGUCCCGCAAUAAUCUUGUUUAAGUAACAUCACGUCCAUGUCCAUGAGCUUUAAUAGAAGAAAACAAAGUAGCAUGACAUUAGACAAGGAAUAUACCAAAGAUGGGAAUUUGGUUCUUUCUCUGCAAGCAAGUCCGGAUAUCAGCAUGCUUUUACUUUGGCAAACUUAGUAGGCUUCGAAUUAUAUAGAACUUUAGAAGUCAGAUAAAAAGAAAAACCUUACAACUUCAUAAAGAGAUGCAUUACCUUUUUUUAAAAAAAAAAAAAAGAAAUAAAAUAGGAAUGUCACUUAGGGUGCCAUUCUUAGCCACUAAUUAAUUUUUUGAAGUUAUUGUAUUCUAUGUCCUUAUCCUCAUAUUUUAGGUAUUUUGCCCCCUUGAUUUUUAGAUGCUUUUGCAAUUAUUAAAAAUGUCAAGCAAGCAAUACGAGUAAAGAUUGGAGCAAUUUUCUGUAUGUACGUAAUUUGUAAAAUUACAACACUAGAAUCCCUUUUUGAAUUGAAGGGAGACUCUUAACUAACUUUAUAAAGAGAUGGAUAAUAUUUUCUUUUUCUUUUUUUUUUAGUCUAAAUAGAGAUCGAAAAAUAGAAAGUUUGAGAGUUCAAUCAGGAAACUUAUUAUGUCACGGUUACCAGAUAAUCAUCUUCUAUUUAGUUAAAGUGGGUCUUGAAGACACCUCAUAAUUUAUAAUUAAGAAAACGGGCUAUGUCAGACAUAGUGAUUAAGGACGUAAUCCAAUCAGCCCAUUGCACAACAAAUGAAAGAGAUUGCAAUUUUGCGCAUGUCACCUCCGUUGUAAUUCAUUUCCAUUAACCUAAUGCUAAUUAAAAAACAAUUACUACCAGAUCAAGGAAGUAUUUAUGCUCGACACUAGGAAAGCAAUUAAGGACGUAUGCAACGGACGCUCCCCACGUAUCAAACUAAUUCCUUGUUUCAACCGCCUACUGCCUUUUGUGCCCCGUGGUGAUAAGCAUCAAGGCAUCGUCCAACAUUCAAACCGCUUGAUGCUAUGGUCCCAAUGCUUUAGAACUAGUAUUAUGUUUCGGAACACCGUCUUGAAGUUUCUUAGCUUUAAGUCAAAAGACCUCAUCAUAAAUCACAAUCAGAUUGAUUUUGCCAAUUACCUAAGUUGCAAAAUGUAUUCACGUUAUUCAUCACUCAGCAAUAUUUCCCCACAGGAGGUGGACAAAUAAUAACAAGAAGAUCUAAUUUGUACCAUUAAAUAAAUGAAAAUUUGUAAAUCUAACCAAACACGUUUCUACAUUUUGUGCAACUUUUUAAAAAGGCAAGCAUACGACCAAAGAUUGAUGAGUUUAAGCAGCUUUUAGGAAUCUGAUAAUCUGAUAUUUGUGUGGUGCAGAAUGCAUGGCUGUUAGCUUAGGGCUGGUCCGCUGUCUUUUAGGGGGGUAGGUAAGAAUUGGAACCCAAUCUUUCUUUCUUUUUGACAGGGUCUUUGAUUGAUUACAACUAGUUUACGAGAAGCCUGCCCCCUCAAUAGUCAUUAUGCUUCUUUUUUCCUUUCUUUCUUUCUAGUUUCCACCGGUCGUUCUGGCUCUUUUGUACUUGGCCUUUAAAAAGCUUUGUUAAGGGAAUCAAGGCGUUGGGACGCUGUCUCUUCCUUUCUUCAUCUCUAAGUUAAAAAGAUGAAAUGUGGGCCUCUCCAAGUUUAAACGUGUCCAAAUGAAGUGGGAUCCAAAAAUUUAACGCCUGUACACGCGUGAAUUGCAGGAGGCUGUGGAUUAAUCUCCAAUAAUUGCCACUCAACCAUCAGCAUCAAGUUGGUUUUUUUGGUUAAGUGUAAAUUUUUCGAGAUUCCCAAGUUCUUGGAUUUAUUUGGCCAGCCCAGUUGCUACUAGGACUAGUACUAUUUGCCAAAGCAAGAAAUUAAGGCUGGCUGGUCCAGAUUAAUCUUCACUUCUGAACCACUCACUCACUAUUCGUUGCUUGAUUCCUUUUCUUUCUAAUUUUUGCUUUCUCUACUGGAGAAGGAGCAGAAGGAGGAAGAGAGAGUAGUGUAUGGUGAAGUGAUUACUCCACUACAUAUUAGAAAACCAUAAUGUUGAAAAUUACACCUGAAUGAAUUUCCUUUCUGGGUAACUGGAAGUUUAUACAUAUUUGCGUCGUUUACUUAUGGAUGAGUGGCUGAGGUCCAGCACUUAAUUUAAAUUCAAAAAUUAUGUUGACGACAAAGAUUAGACGUUGUUAUAAACUAUAUAUAUAUUUAACCGAGUCUGAGGCCGGCAACGAUAAAUGAUUGACUUCAGUAAUUACUCCUAUUGUCAAUUUCUUGAAGAAUUUCUCAAGGUUUGUCUUUCACUUUCAGAGUACCCCCCCUCCAUUUCUGUCGAAGUUCCCCGUAGUUUCGAUAAGUGAUUUGAUAUGAGCAACGCCAAUAAUAAAGACCUAGAAGACGGGUGUGAACAAUUUUAUUACGUACCAUGGGAUCCAAUCAUCCACCAUCGAUCUCUUUUAUUUUCUUCCCAACAAAAAUAUUUCCGAGGGAUCAUAUGGUCGCAUCUAUGAGCUUUCUUCGUAAGAAAUAUCGACGGUGUCACUUUCGUUACCAACUAACCCUUUGAAAAACAAUUAUCAUUGCAUAUAUCCCAUGAAUCAAAGUCCAAAGUCUCCGAGUCCAAGAGAAAUCUAACUUAUUAAUUGGAGCCAAAGAAUUGAACUUGCCUGCCAGGCCUACCACUAGAAAACAACAAAGUAAUCAACGACAUCAUUAGAGUUCUGUGCUUUUUUUUUCAAGGAAAGAUACCGUGUUCUCUUUAUUUGCGGACAAUAUCUUACCAAUAUUUCCAACCCAAAAAAAAAAAAAAAACAAAAAUUCCAAGAAAGCGACUACCUGGAACUCAACUGGGGCAAACAUGAUGAUACUUGAACCAGAAACAUAAAAAUAUUUCGUCAGAUUCUAACCCAUACGUACAGAUCAAUCUCAGGACUUUAAUCCGAAUCUUGUGAACAUAUCAAUAUCUGGUUGAUCAAUCUCUCUUCUUUUUUUUUUUCAAUCACAAAUUUAGAUUGAACGAGUGUGUAAAUUUAGAUCGCAAUUGAGGUUGAGAUUGACUUUCGGAAACGUUGCACGUGAUUUGAUUGGGAACUCUUUUGUGGUAGUAUAGUAUCUAAUAUGCUGCUUGACUUCUUGUUACCUCAAGAACGAGCAGUUUAGAGGCCAAAACCCUGAAGUAACUCUAACCCCAAGGAUUGGCAAAUGUCAAAAUCAUUUUUCAGCGAAGCAACUCGGCAACUUCCUCUCCAACCCAAAAAAACAAAUGGAAAUAUUACACCAUCAAAAUUCACUACUGUUUUACGUUGCACAUCUAUGAAAUUUUAUCUUAUCAGUAGCAGGUCUCGAAAUACAUCAUGCUAGACAGAUGCUUCAUCUUUUUUUCUGGUUGAAGAUUAAACCUUUUUGGUUUUCCAACAACUAACAUAAGUAUUUAUUAGUUUUUCAAAUCUCCCACUCACAUUUCUACAUGAUAAAUUUCAGUUUCGACACAUUUUUUUUUCUUAAAAAGAAAACGAACGAGAUAUUUACCGAUAAACAUAUUUCAGUGUCUUGUGUUGUCCCCCAACCCUCAUUUUUAGUCUCCUGCAGUUGUACGAGGAGAGUGUUUGUUGAGGUCUGAAACUUCAUACAUGGGAAAAUAUCCUGAUGGCCAGGCCAGAAGAACCAUAGAACAUUCAAGCUUCGCAUAGAUACGGUGAAACCAUAAAUCGGCAUAAAAAUCAAAACCAUUCAGGACAAUUUAUGUCAUUAAUAAUUUCUUAAAAAGCCUUCACCCUCCCAACAACUUACCUAACUCCAUAUCAUAAAAAGUAAAAACAUCUUGAGUAGAAAAACGAUGAUGCACUACAUGAUCAUGGUUAGACCGUCUUUGCAACAUAUAAAUAUUACUACUACUAAAGAAGAUCUUCAUUCUUUAUCAAAGGAUCCUCCACAGUCGUAUUCAGAUUCAGACCCACCAACAUGGUCACUAUGCUACAAAAGACAUUUACUAUCAUUAGAAAUUCCAUCAUGUCUUUUGGCAUUGGAGGAUGCAGGACUCAUAACGCACCGCUCAUAUGCACCAGAAAAUGGACUCUGCCGUGCUAAAAUGGAUUAACAAUGAUGGAUGAACGCAUCCACAUGCAUGUCAACAGUUGUCGACAACUGGAGAAAUGUCAAAGGAGAUGGCGCUCGAGAACUAGAGGGUUCCUAGAAGUGUCACUAGCUCGCGACUGGGCAGUGCAAUCACUUUUAUACCCUUUCAGUGAUUUAAAGGGUUCAACAGCAUAUAAGCUCCCAACAAAAGAAGCAAAAUUGAAGAAUGCAAGCUUCUGCUCUCUCAUAUGAUUUUGAUCUUCUUUGCUACCUCAACAGCUUUCUGAUCAGGUAUCAACGUUAGAUAUGCUUUCUUAUUACCACUGGGCAUGAUCAAUGUAUUUACUUUCUUGGUCUCAAUCUUAAACAUCUUCUUGGCAGCUGCCUUUAUGUUAUUCUUGUCAGCACGUUUAUCCACGACAAAAGUUAGAGUGUUGUUUUCUAUCAUCACUCGCAUGGUCAAAUCAGUAAUUAAGGGAUAUUUGACAAUCUGGAAAUGGUCAAGCAUCACUUUUUGGGCUGCACUACUGCUAAGACAUUUGGGAUUUCUUUCCUUCCUAGACAACCUUGGCCGACUAGGUUCAGCCAAUUGUUGAACAUUCUUACCUCCCUCGGCAUCUGAGCUGGAUAUUGCUGCAGCUCUCAAAGCAUGCUUCCAAGAUUGGGGCCCCUUGGUAAAAUAAGCUUCAGUAUUAAUAGCAACAUUCCAGCUCUCAGACUCAGUGGGAAGCUGCACAGCGGUGUCUAGGGUCAAUGUGCGAAUAAAAACAAUAAUGUCUUAACAAAGUGCUUCAACAAUCUACCUAUGGAUUCUUUAAAAGGAGGGCGGGUGAUAUUUGCCACAAAAUCUCAAUAUAAACAGCCAUGAUAAAAGUCAAUCUAAUGAUGAUUAACAUGAAACUUGAGAGCAAAGAGAGCCUUCAAAAGGUCAUCCAAUCUCAUGAAAUCAGAGCAGCAAAUAUCCAAAUGAAAAAGUUUGUUGAGGUGUCACACAAGACAAAAGUUGCUAAUCCAAUCAUAUUCUUACUCAAAUAAAGAAAUUCUUCAUCAUUGUAUAAUUUAAAACCUCUGUUUCUCACACCAAAUUCUGGCCAAAAGGUAAGGACAGAGGCUUGUCAUUGAAGUUAUGAAUUUUUUAACUACUUCGCAUGUCAAUUCUAAGAAGGAAGUUUAAACGUCUAACAAUUACUUCACAAUAACAGCAGAGUAUAUUCUUUGAUAGAAUAUCAAUUUCCAUAUUUGGAUUUAAGUGGUCUGUUAAAUAGUGGGAAAUUCUUGUCUUAGAACUUGAAAUCCAAGAAUCAUUAAGUCAAGAAUGAAGGGUCUUAAGUCAAAAAUCCACGACUUAAGUGGUCUUAAGUCAAAAAUGAAGGGCUCCAAGUAAUCAUUAAGACGGGGGGACACUCUUGCUGCGAGUAUUCCAUCAUUUGUGAUCGCUAAUCAUGUCAACAAUGUUCCAAACAUUGAUGCAUUGGGCUGUAACCCAGAAGACUUUGUCUGCAUCAAUGAUAAGCCAAAUAAUUUACAGGAAGAUAAGCUCAAUGCAGAAUGCAUCAAUGUGCCAAUUGCUUAAUCCCAUGGAGAAGAUGGUAUGUUGCAAUCUCCCUCCAACAUAUCUUAAUUCCUAAGUAAUUGCUGUCAUUUUAAUCAGCCAUUUAGACAAUGAAUAAAGAAGAACAGUUGCAAAAGUUAAAUUAAGAAACAUGAAAAUUAGAAAUCACACUUAUGAGCCAAUGAAUUAAACAGCAGCAGUAGAUAACAUUGUGAGGACAAACAGGGGAUCCCAGUAAACCCAUUCAGUGUCGUAGUAUUGCAUGACAAACUGAAGAAAACAACUAUUCCCUAUGGAUGUCUAACAUCACCACUCAGAAUGUUAUACUCAUAUGUGAAAAUGAUAAUUUCUGCAGCAUGCAAAUUGUCCUCAAGCUCACUUCAUUUUUGCUUAAAGCCAGGAUCUUCAGAUUAUAAACAGCUAUUGCAGCUCUUGGUGGUGAUCUUCCCAAUUAAUAUCACGCCGGGAGGGGGAAGGGGGCAGAUAAGGACUGUUAAUUGCAAAUUUGCUAAUUUUUUUUUCCACAGUUAAAUUUUCAUUCGUCGAAAAUAAACCAUACAUCCCACGGAAAGAACUUUCUAUAACUCGUCCAAAUUGUCAUUGAAGUUUCACCUGAAAAAUGUUUGUACAUAAGGGGAUCACAUCUCAUCAGUUCCGGUACUAGUGUGCGGAACCCUGGGUUGAUACCUAUCACAUCACUCUGACCAUGCGACAGACCGCUAGAUCAUUAUGCCAGUGAUGCAUAGUAACUGAGAAAUGGAAAAGCUUCACUUGCUCUGCUUGGCCCCUAAUCCUCCAUUACCGCUGGUUUAUUCCUAAAAGAUCAUGAAUGUUGUAGCAGGUGUUGGCAAAACAUCAACAAAUGGCUUUUAAGACCUUGUAGAAUAUAAAUCUAAGAUCUGUAGGUAAAAGGUUAAACCUCACAAGGAGAACACUGCACUCAUUCAACUCUUCAUAAUCUACAUAGAUUGCACCAAUCCCCAGCUUAACAUCUUUCUUUCUAAAUAACCCAUCCAAAACAACUCUUUCCUUUGUCUGGAUAACUCUAAUUUUUUGCAUUAUGGUGCUCAAGAAAACAUGUGACUACAGUUUCAAGAGAUUUCAACAAGAUAGAGAAGGUAAACGAGCGAAAGGGAUAGAAACCAUAAACCCUUCAACAUCUCGUAAUCUGAACACUUGGGCCAAUGGUGUAUGUCGUCACUCAGGGUUACACUUUUUUUUUGCCCUUUUUCUUUGCAGAAUAGGUAAACUCAUAUUAAUGAUUCCCCCAUUCAUUUCUGAUUCCCACUAUUUCUUUAUUUUUCUUUUCUUUUUUGGCCAAAAAAAAAAAAAACCAACUAGGGAAGGAAGUUAAUCCGUCGUAGUUGGCUUCGUAUAAAUCAUGUUUAAACAGUAAUAUACUAAUAUCAGCUAGCGGCUACGAUCACGCACGACACGAUUGAGAUGGAACCAACCAAAUAUGGGGAAAAAAUGAUCUUGAAUAUGUAAAUGAAUGCAGAUGCAGAUAGAUAGCUUACAAAGGUAAUGAAAAUAAAAGAUUAGCUCACCAACUUAGCUUGAUUAGCGUUAAUCGUCAAACAACGGAACUUUAAAAUCAAACACAUUUGAGGCGGUGGAGUAGUUGUACCGGUAAUUGGUUUCGAGGCAAUGAAACUGAGACCCUUUUGCCGACUGCGGGUGACCAUGCUUGAGGGAGCAACAGCCACCGGAGAAACCAUUGCAGUAGGCAAAGCCAUAAUCUUUUUUUUUUUUUUUUCAAAAGAUUAUAGCAUCGGACAUCCAGGCAGCGGACGACGACCCAGGUUUACAGGGUUUUUGAGGGGAGAGAUGAGAGAUCGAGCAGAGUUUGAACUUUGAAGCACUAAACCCCAGAGCACGGUACAAAACAUUAGACACCUGUGCUUUUCUAUUUUCUAUCUAUUAUUUUCUUUUUCUUUUUGUUUUCUUCUCUUUUUUUUUUAAUUCUUUGAAUACGCCCUUUUGGGCUUUGGCCCUCUGGAGUUGUAAGCUUUGGCAGCCCACCUAGGAAUAGUUAUAUGAUUAACGGAACCUUAGAAUAAAAACUCUUCGGAGAUCCAAGCGCAAAAAAAUUUUGUAGCGGAUCCAAGAGUAAAAAAUAAUAAUAAUAAAGAAGAGUGCGUGAAUUUCACGACACCCAAAUGGGAAAGACGGAAAGAAUCAUAAUCCAAUCCUCAUUUCUUGAUUAAACAUGAUCAUCAUCAUCCACUUAAUAAUACAAAAAUAAUAUUUGAUUGAUCAUUCUACAUCGAUAAUGUAAACAUUGGGACUUUAUUCGACGAAGUUUAAGAACACAUUUAUAUGCUUCUCGUAAAUUCUCUCCUUGCAAUUACUUAAUCUAAAAGUAAACACGACCUCACUUUAUGCUCUGCAUGCAAUAAUGCUCUAUCUGAAAUCCUUACCUCGCCUGGCACCUACCAUUUCUACCCCGAGGGAGGGGAGGAAGAUCAACCAAUCUAACCAAAUUACCCUCUUUCACAUCGCAGGACCCCUUGCACGAGAGUAUGAUGCUUUGAUUUCUAUUCUUGAUGGAUCCGAUGUAUUUCCUAAUUCUGCUUGGAUCUCCACCAAGGCUUGUGACAUUUUUGGUGCAUUCCUUGAUGGCUGCAGCGAAAGGGUCGUCUUGGCGCCUUCCCCAUAGGCCUUUCGUUGAAGGACUUCGACCUGGUGGCUGAGUCAUUCGUGGCGGAGGAGAAAUCUUCACGUCAUAAUUAUCAGUAUAACACCCCAUCAUAUUCAGGGGGCUUUGAAAAUGAGAAGAAAGUGAUUUUUGUAAAGGCGGCUGAAUACGAGGACCGGCGGUCUUGUUUUGGCAGCCGGGACUAAACUUGGAAAUCCCCGGCUUUUCUUCCCAGGAAAACGGCACGCUGCCCACUGAUUCUGAAUAAGACUGAGAUUUCCUGUGAAUCAUUUUCAGUCUAAAAUUUGGAAGACAUAGGAGUCCUAUGAUGAUAGAAAUUGUUAAUUUUCUUGCAAUGCUGCUACUUGUUAGUUAGUGAGGAUAUUAUAAGUACAAAUUAACUGCAUGCGGUAGACUGCUUUUUCCCAUAAUGGUGGACUCCUUCAGAUCAAGAAAGCGAAACGUGAAUGGGCAGAAAUAUGUGGUUUUUGCUUUCGAAAUUAUUAAGCAUGCCAGCGGUUAAAGAAGAAGAAGAGGAGACAAUAACUUGCAAAUGAAAUAAUCCAUCAAUGAAUAAGUUGAUAAAAACACAAAACGGUUGGUGCAGUGGUUGUAUUGAUCAAGGUACAAAAACGAAAUGAUUUUGCACAUGACUUCCGAGGUCUCUUGCUUCUGGAAACAUCAAACAAGUAUCAGCUCGAGAAUCUGUGGACAGUAACUAGUCUAGUAAGGAAAAGAUUUUGCCAUUAGUAUUAGUUUUGGUUUGCGGCCUACUUCCACUGCAAGUGUUACUGAUUGUCUCGAUUGACCAUUGCUGCAGCUGCACCUUACAAGACUCUCAGAUCCCUUUCAUAUCCCAACUGGAACUCUUUAUCCGUAUCCCAAUCGAUUGAUGCUAACUUCUUGAUGUAGUGACAACUAACAACCAGUGUAGGUUAGGUUAAUCAAACAAAGUACACCCCAUACUAACGGAUUUUUCUAAAACUAGUGUAGGUUAGGUUUAACUAAUGGGUUGGUAGCAAAAUUUGCAACUCGAUGCAUGUCAUGAUCAAGUACAAAAUCAGGAAUCCCCAGCAAAGAUGAUCGUUGAUCAAUUUUAGUAACUUUGUCAAAGACGCCAAAGCAAGAUGUCUUAACUGACCGACCGGAUCACUUGUGUUUUGGUUGAAAUGCUUUUUAAAUUUUGUAUCUACUUUUGCACCUUGGGCUCAUGCUCUGGCUAAUUUUCUCGUAAACCGUAUAAACUUUCCAAAAAAAAAAAAGAAAAGAAAGAAAAUUACGCCUUCUUCAUCCGAGCAUAAAUGAUGUACAAUGAAUUAGGUCUGGUCGGUCACUUGUAUUGAUAUUUAGAGGCCUAAAAUUUCAGGGCGGAAAGAAGACAAUUAGAAUUUUCUUCCGAAGAAAAUGAUUGGGCCAGGUGGCAAGGGCGACAUGUUGACAGGGCCCAGUAUUUUCGGUCCGCUUAUCCCAAGGAACAUCGGGCUGAGCCCAUUACCAUCAAAGGUCCCUUUUUUGUCGCGUCUACUCUAGGGUUUUGCUCUCCUCCUCGCUAGUAGUAUAUAAGUAGCAAAUAAUAGCUGUUUCACUACGCUUCCGCUAGUCGACGGAGGUGGAAGUCGAUGAUUUUUGCAGAAUUAGCGGACAUCAGCUAUUUUAAUUUCUGAUCAUUAUUAUACAUAAACGAUUUAUUGAUAUCUGGUGCGUUGUGACGGGGGCAAUGAAGAUUGAAAUCGUUUCUCGAUUCUGAGUUGGUUGAUUAUUCGACCAUUGUUUUUUUUAUCCUGUUUUUCUUUGAUGACCUAUUUGUGCGUGUCUGAGCUCCCGCUUUACUCAUGUCCUUUAUGCUAUGAGCUUAAUUCUUUCUUUUUUUUUCAAGAAAAUUUUUUAUUGAUUUUGUGGAAGAUGGAUAGCAAGUAAGAGGAAAUGGGAUGUUUGCAGUGAUUAGAAUGCAUAAUUCCUCGUUCUGAAUGCCAGAGGCAUGAGAGACUCAAUCUUACACCCAUAGAAUCUGAGCUACACGCCCACCUCUUGCCGCUAUGCUAUCCAUCUCCAUCAUCUUCUUUUACGAGUUUUACUCCGUUAUCUCUUACAUUUAUUUAAUCUUUGUUAUUAUGCUAUUGAACCGUAAAAGGUACGCGACGGUAAAUAAUUCCCUUCUGUUUGUUGUUAAGGGGGGGAAAUUGGCAUAGGUUUGCAAUUGAUCAUUCAGGAAAUUCUGGGAUGAUUUGCAAAUGAAUAUUCUGGUCUUAGAGUUUUUUUUUUUUUGUUUUUUGGUCCAUCACUUGGGAGAUUUAAUGUAUGAAUAAAUUAAACAGCAUCAACUACCAUCAUGCUGGCUGUACAAGUCCCCGUUACAUCUUGCAGCGAAAUACUGUAUUAGAAAUAUAAAGAGGGUAAGAUUCAAAAACUACAGAAGGUGAUAUAGCAGAACAUCAGAAAUAGAAAGAGGGCGAGAUUUAUUAACUGCAAGAAUGAUUACAAUUUAAAAUAAAAUAAAAAAAAGGGUGAACAAUAUAGGCAGCUCUGUGGGUGGCUGGAAGGCAGAACAACACUUUUAGAUUGUUAUGUGAUUUUAAGCUUUUUAGAUUGCCAAGACGCAACAAUAAUAUGUAAAUCCAGACUGUCGGCGGCAAAUUGGUUAUGUUCUCUGUUUGGGAGCGCUGGGAAAGUCCCUCCUGGAAUACCCCACAACACAAGAACAACCGGUCACCGUUCUGCGGACAGAAACAAGUGAAAUUACAUGCAAGCAUACGAUGUUACGCUCCCCAAUACUUGCCAACAACAGUCUCCCGUGAGCUUUAACCUUUCGCAGCACAUCCCUUGUCUCUCCAUUAAAGAUUGUUGCCUGUCCAGCCGCAUGCCAAUGCAUAAAUUUCAGUAUGUUUGGUAACAGCAUCAAGAGAUUGCGUGAUUCUUACAGAGGCUGUCCACAAUAAUUCAAUUCUUGAUGAUUCUGACUUUAUACCCUGUUUAUGAAGUAAGAAGCUGACGUCAGGUCGGUUCUUGUGACCAUACUACACAGGAUAUUCGUCUCAGAUAUUGAAAGCUUCAUCAGAUAAAACUAUUUCUAAUAUUACUGAAUCAGUAUGAAAACAUAACAGCAAGCAGCCACCAUAAGAUAACAAGGAACGAGGUAAUAUCAGAAUGUAAUCAGUUGAUGAUACAAUACAGGUGCCUACAAUUGAAUACUGGGUUCAGAUGAGCAACAAGUCUCUGCUUCAAAUUAAUUGCACACCAUGACAAAGGGAAAAAGAAAGGGGGGGGGGGGGGGAGAGAAAAGAACUGAAAAUAAAUUUCUGAUCAACAUGAACUACAACAAACUUCCUGAAGUCCACCUCCAUCUACUCUUAUGGGGGCAUCACAUGGAUGGAAUAGAUGUUGAAUGUGCAAGAGUUGAACCAAGAAUAUCAUCGCAGAGGGUCGCACCUUCAGGAGCUUUCUUGUUGUCAGUUCUUGGGCUACUCCCCGAGCUGCUAUUUGAAAGAGAGACGAAAGUUGACUUCUGUAGCACCCCAGUAGGAGAGCAUCCCAUCUGAAGGCUAUUAUCCCAGACGUCUGUCAUGAGGUUCAGAGUAGAUGAGCUCUUGAAAGCUCCUACGUUGCUAGAAGUGCUAUUCAAAACCUCUCCCAGCGGCCCACCUAAAAUUGAAUUUCCCCAAGAAGCUGGUAGCCAGUUUGCCUGCUUUUGGUUCUGCCCAACGACGUCCUUAGUCACGCUCAAUCCCAUCUGGAUAGGGUCAAUCUCACGAGCUAACCUUAGGGGAGAAAGAGUUGGUUUAUCCUGCCGAGGAGAUCUUGAAGAUGAAGAAAAAUCUGAGGUAGACAUGGGGAUCGACAUCGACAGCUGUGUCCAGUCUGAUUUCAGUUCUUCAGGCCAGGAAAUAGAGGCACGAUGAGAUUGAUCCUUGGGACAUUUAUCAAUAAAAUGCCGAAGCAGAUGUUGGUUCUGUGUCUCAUGGUCAUUGAAGCCUAAUAGAGAAUCAGAGGUUUUAGAACUCAUCCUGGAGCAUCUUUGAGAAGGAUUAAGAAGGGAAUCAGGGGAGACAACUCCAAAUUCAGUCUGAGAGGAUCCCCUGAAUAUGGCAUGCUGCUUUUGAAUGGAGAAUGGCGAGUCUUUGGAUUUCAAGUUGAUGGAAUCUCCUGCGGCGGAGAGGCCAUGAAGAUCUUGCAUCCUGCCAUACGCAUUGCCUUUAGUUCAGCACAGGAAAGAGAACAUAGACACGAGGCUUUCUUUCAUGUCCAACUGGUUAUAUCACGAGUAGGAGGCUAGCAAGGAAGGGACUACACAGAAUUAUAACACAAACAGAGAAAUCUAGCGCUUCCAGCAUGCUCUUACUUCAUAUUGCCUAGGAGUCUAGGACAAACCAUGGACUUGUGACUAGCAAAUCAUAGCAGAUCCACCAUGGUGAAGUAUCUCAACUUGUUUCCCAGGACUACUCAGAUUUAUCAUUGUAACACCAAAGCAAUCAGCUUGAUUUUAUGGUAAAGAAGAAGGGACAAAGCAAUUAAGUGCACAAGCAGUACACUAUCGUACAGUCUCACAAAACUUGAAAUGAAAUGAUGAUUUGAAAUAGACAACAGUCUCUGAAAAUGGCUGUAUAGCUUACCUGCUCACAAGAUGUUCAGUUGAAGCAUUAUCAGCACGGGUGUGCAAAUUCUUAAAAGAGUGCUGUACAGCACCAAGGCUGUUGGAGGCGCUGCUGCUGGACAUCACCGAUGCUGAUGAAGAUGAAGCAAUCGGUGCCACCUUUGAAGCAGUGGAUCCAGAGACAGCAUGGCCAUUCUGGCCUUCCACAGGCUUUCUUGAACGAUGGCGGCCUCUGUUGAUGUGUCUUUCACAGUAUUUUUGGUCAGGAACAGCAUCUCUUGAGCACCGCCAUUUCUUUCCAUCUGUUCGACGGCACCUCCCAGGCUCGGGAUCAGUGCUGCCAGCAAAACCUAGAUGGAAAGAACCCCAUCCCACUGUACACACAAGGAGAAAAAUGAAUACCAAAAAAAAGAAAAGAAAAGCAAAACCGAAAAGAGACGGUUAUCUCCUGAAUGGGAUUCAGAAAGUAACGACUAUUGACAUCACAUCAAGCAUGUGUUACAUGGUAAUUUAUCUUAUACUCUUAAACAAUUAGGGAUUAGAAUGAAAUUUUGUCUGAGAUACACUAACUAAUGCAUGUAAAGACAUCAAUAGAAUGCAAAUAAGGUUCUUGAGAAUUGUCUAAGCGUCAAAGGGCCAAAAGAACUGAUGCUACUAGUUACAGAAUUGCACAAAUUACAUCCUAGCAUAUUUUAUACAACCCUGCUGCUUCUUCAUUCUUCCUAACAAAAGUUUCUCCACUCUUCUCUCCACCAAUCUGGCCAGCCCAUCACUUCUCCCAACUAUGGUGUUGGAGUUGCGAGAUGAGAAUUGCAAGUUGGUGUCGGUGAAGGAGUGGAAUUUGAAGCAGGGGGUGAUAUUGGUGAGUAAGUGGGAGGAGAUGGUGAGUAAUAUCAUGAGGUGACAUUGGAGAACGAGGGGCAGUGGUCAUCUGUCUUGGUGGUGGCAUUGGGGGUGGCAGAGGUGGAUACCAUUCGUUUAGAGGUGGCGGCAGCAGUACUGUAAGGCAAACAGUCAGGCACCUGUUGAGUAGAUACUGCCUUAAAUUUGCUGCCAAAUGCCUGCCUAAGUUUUCUAAAGAAAUUGAUAGUCGGAUAUCCAUUUUGGAGUAGCUUUUUGGCAUUAAAGUUGAGUUCCAAGAAAUUCGUUUCGCUAUCUUUGGAACACUAAUUAAAUUAUCUUUUAUUUUCUGUUAAGAAAUACAACAUUUGUAUAAAUAACCCAGUUCAUUCAGGCUAGUAAGUAAGAAGAGGACAGUCUUACACGAACUGGAGCCAUAGGAUCCAGAAGACAAGCUGGAAAAGGCACAUGGGUUGAAAGAUUUUCUAAGAGGGAUGAGCAAGUGUGAAGGAACUGGGACAUUUGCAAUAAUGUAUUUGUAGAUCAAAGCCUGAUGCUCCAGCUCCAUCCACUGAGAGGGAGUGAAGGGGCCUCUGAACUUAGCAAAUGGCCCACGCAUGCCCUCAGUCGACUUUUCCGUAGCAUAACCUGAAUCACAAAAAGGCCAAGUAUAAAUUGUUCAAGUCCUCGAAUGGUUGAAAAGGAGAAGCUCAAAGCCAAAAAGCGAAAAGAAAAGAAAAAAGGGAAAGACAAAAAUAUCAAUUGAAGUGACAACACUAAGUUAAGAAAUUUUGAAAAUGAUGCUAACCAAGACCCAAAACAAUUUCAAUUUGAUCUCUAAAAGCAUAUGGUAUUUCUAAUGAAUGCUUCUCAUUUAGAUGAGAGAAGGGAAUUAAGGAAAAGAAUAAAAGAGGGGACGUUGAGAAUGACAGGAAAGGAGCGUAAUCUAAUAAAGUCUGUUUUCUGCAAAGUCGUAUUUGUGGAUUCGUGCCCCUUACAUGAACAUUAAGGACUUUUAUUAGCAGCAAUUCGUCAUUUUUCACACAUACCAGUACCAAUCAAAUAAUCAGGUAAAAAACUUAUCACAAAGUAAUCAUAUAACGAGAAAGACAUGCGUUUUGGUAAAACCACAUAGUCAUUAGUAAAAGGCAGAAAAAGAAAAACGAAAAUAACCUUUUCUCUUUUCUUGACAAGACAUGGGAAAAAUCUACAAAUCUCAUUAGUAUGAUACUAGUCCCUGAAAAGACCAAUAAUUUGUCCAAUGAAACAGAAAACACAAUCCAAGCAAACCCAAUCAACCUUUUACGAAAAUUAACGUCAGCCCCAACAUCUAAAUCUUCAAAACCCAACUGUGUACGAUUAAAAACUGAUUAUCUAAACCAACCCACCUACCUAACAGACAUGAAAUGACAAAAAUAAUAUCUUUGUUUAGCAAACAAAAAAAUGGAAGAAACCAAAAAAGGGUCCUUGGCAUACCUGAAGUUCUUGGACAAAGGGGGUCUGGUGGGGCGAUAAAGAAUGGAAAAGCUGAGGUUUUGGAGGCAUCUUCAUCACUAAAAUAAGGAAUUUGGGACUGAGAUGAGAAACUGAUCAUAGUCUGUCCAUUAUUCCCAGGGAGACCUGAACCAGAUCUCAGCAAAGCAGGAAUUUGGCCUUGUGAAAAGAUGCAAAAUUCACCAGCCCUAGCAGAUUUAGACACCCUCAAACUCUCCUGAAUAGAACCAGAUCUCUCAGUUUUGAGCACCCCAGAUCCUCCUCUCUUUUCUAGACUGAUCCCAAAUGGCUCUGAACCAGCACCAUUGCAUGAAGCAUCCCCACCUACACCUUCAGUUGUUAUCAUCCCAAAAUCCAUUCUUCAAAAUAAGUAAAGAGUAGUGAUAAUCAACAAACGGGUUCAAUCUAAAACCUCCGCGAAGCAUAUCAUAUCAGGAGUUGAACUGAAGUUUAGUAGUAGUAGAAGUAGAGUCGAGUGUCAAGUGAGCUACAAGCUUAAAGCAGCAAGCAAAGGGAAAAAAAAAUGGAUACUAAUGAAUAGCAAUAAAUUGGAAAGAGAGAAGUAGAGAUGGGAAGAGGGGAGAGCGGGCGAGAGGAGAAGACAAGGACAAAGGACUAGUACCAAAGACUCUCUCUGCAUCUCGGACAUAUUAAGCACAAAUUUAUCUACUUUUGUCUCCCAAGGGGGAGAUGAGGUGUGUUAGUUGAUUAGUUCUGGAUGAGAUUUAUUAGUUGGUUAAUACUGAGAUUUAUUAGUAGUAAACAACAGUAGUGGUACUAUUUAGUUUUUAAUUUCUGGUUCCAAAUAAAAUUUUAUGUCGCUUUUUGUUUUGGUAUUAAUAACCUUAAUAUGGCAUUGUUCUCAAAAUUUUUCCUAAAUGAGUUUCUCAGUUAAAAUCAACUCUUUGAUCUAAUAGUUAUUGACUACUUCUGUUAAUUGGUUGGCUGGUUUAUAUGGAAAACUAUGCAUUGAAAAACAAUAAACAAACAAGUUUAAAGCAACUUCCUGAAGAAGUAAAUUUAAAGUAUAUUAGCAGGGUGUUCAUUGAUCAGUUACUAAAAUUCAAUUAAUUUUGAUACAAUCUAUUUCCAAAGUCUACUUGUCCCUUAAAAGAAAUCAGUUAUUAAAAUUCAAUUAAUUAGUUACAUUAACGAACUUUCCGUGCAUUUAGUUUUAUCAAAAAUAACUGAUUUAUUCAAAAUUUAUGUGCACCUUAAGAGGAACAAAAUAAAGACCAAAAGCUAAAAGUUAAAAGGGAAAAUGACAUGUUUCAUCCCUCAUAUUUCGUAAAAAUAUUCUUUUCGUCCUUCACAUUUAAAACGAAACAAAUUGGUCUUCCACAUUUAAAAACCCAAACUUUUAUAUCCUAGAAAUAAACUCUCAGUUGUGAAUCAAACCAUCUAACAACCCGGUUACAAAUUUGGGGGGUAGAAUUGGUAGAUCACUCGCAAAAACAUAUUUCCAACAAAUAAAUUAAAGCAAUUAAAAAAUCUUAAUUAAAACCCAUUUGUUUCUUCAAAAGAAUAUUGUGAGGGACCAAUUUGCUUCGUUUUAAAUGUGAGGGACGAAAAAAAUAUUUUUACGAAAUGUGAUGGAUGAAACAUGUCAUUUUCUCAAGUUAAAAUGUAAAAUUAAAAGUACACAGAGUUAUGAAUUAUCGAUUCAAUAUUCGACUAUUAUUUCGUUCGUGCACUAGCAUGGAAUAAUUUUUUAUUGUGAUUAAUUAUGAAUGAACACAAGGCUUAAAUAAAACCAUUAACAAUAUCUAUAUAUUAUUCAUAUUUAUAUUAAAAAUUAUUAUACUACAAAUAUGGAACUAUCCUAUUAGUCUUUAGAAACUUUUAUACAUAAAUUUAUUAUAAUGUGAUAAUAUUCAUUAACAAGUAUAAUAAAAAAUUAUUAUAUGUGGAUAACAAGAAUAAUUCAACUUUAUUAAACAAUAUAUGAGUUGUUAGAAGUGAGAGAAAUUAUAGAUAAAAUUGUUUGGAAGAGAAUUAAAUGCAAAAUUGGAUAAAUCCAAGUGUCCAUUGAUCCAUCACUUCUAUUCAAUUAGACACGCUACCUAGGAAACAGAAGAUGCCUAGUCAACUCGUGUGUGUUUAGACACAGUCAAGUACUUAGUACCACUGCUGAUAAUUUUCAAUCAAUCGAUAGCUGAUAAUUGAAGCGUGCUUAAACGUUGAAAUGUUUGUUCAAAAUUACUCCGUUAUCAAAUUUUAUACAUCAAUUUUAGAUUGUUUUACCCAAUAAUUGAGAAUGAUUUAAAAAUUUAACUAUUAACUACUUAACCGAAAUUUGAGAACCAAAACGCAAAUGUUUUGAUCUUUUUCUUUUAUUUAUUUAACCAAUUUGUGAGCGGCCCAGAUUUUACACUGACAAAUUUGUUGCUCAACCAUUGUAAGAAUUGAUUGUCAUUGUAACGAAGACAUUCAUGAAGCAGUUGUACAUCCGAGAUUCCAAAGGACGAGGGGCCUGGACGGUUGUCAGAGACAACCGUCCCAGGCAGUUGACGGCCCGGAUGAAGCUAAAAAAUUUUGUGCGGCUCAGAUCACGUUUUGUAACUCGAUUUUCACGCCGUGUGGGACCCACAAAAAUGGUGUUUUAUUUUACUCGCUGUUGUUCAAUUGUUACACAUUGUACAGAUGAUGUUACACCAUGUACAAAUGGUGUUACACCUUCCGGAGCGGUUGUUCUGACAACCGCUCCAGCCCCGCGUCCGAUUCCAAAAGGGCAUGUCUUCAAGUAAAGGACCAUUUUGGGUUUAACUGUAGCUAGCGGCUGAUGCACAUCCAAUAUAUGUGCAGCUAGUAAAAAGAUAUUUAAAAAAAAAUUAGUUAGAGAAGUGGGGGUUUUUUUUUUUGGGUAGGGAGGUGAUUGUUAAUUCAAUAGAUGUAGAGUACUUAUAAGGAGGUGAGUAAUUAAAAUAAUGUAAUUUUGAAACCCAUUUCCUCCCGCUGUCUGUAUGGUAUAAGAUGCUACUGAUUGAUAGUUUUAAUUUCUACUAUUUGGAGAUUGUUUGUUAAUAUUAAUUAUUAUUUCCAUUAGGAUCUGUCUAACGUCUACUGGGUACCCGGCAAAAUAUAUUUCAGAUGUCAUAUUUUUUAAAAUAUAAGAUUAAUUAGGUAAAGUAAAUGAAUAUAAGUGAGGGAAGGUAAAAAUAAAUAGAAAAAGUAUAUAAAUGCCGCGGAGUAUAAUAAUUAUUAGUAUGUCUAUAUACAUCGUAAGUUAGGUGAAUUUUAAAUGUGUUAAUGGAUGUCAAACUAGAAAAAUCCUUUCUAUUAUUGUAGUUUCUUUGUGAUCUUAUCAAAACGAAAAAAGUGAGGGGCCAUUUUAGUUAGGUUAAUACUCCCUCCGUCCCACUUUGAUAGUUCUGGUUCUUUUUUCACACAAUUUAAUAAAAAAGUAGUUAACUUUAUUAGAACAAUCAAUUUAGGUAGCUAUUUUCCUAAAAUACCCUCACAUUAAUUAGAGUACAACUUUAUGGGAAUUUGAAUUGAUGGUAAAAAAAGAAUCAACUCUCAUCAAAUGGGGUAGGUUUAUAGUAACAACAACUUACAUUGAAUAAGGGUAUUUUAGGAAAAUUAAAAUACAAUUAUAUUCUUCAAUUGAAAAGUUAACUACAAUUUGGGACAGACAAAAAGGGAAAACAGGACUAUCAAAGUGGGACGGAGGGAGUACUUAUUUACUGGUUUUAAUUACAUUUUGCUUAUAUGUGAAGCUUUUGCAAUGAAUUAUACAUUAGUGCACGGAAUAAGGGGGUACACAAGCAAUGAGGAGGACGACCUAAACUCUCGUCUUCAAUAAAUGUGUAGUUGAAUUUGUAAGACUGACAGGUUGAUUCUCUAUCAUGUGAAAAAUGUUAAAACACGGAAAACAAAUUUAAACCACCCUUUGACUUUAACGGCGAUGAUAUAUCGUAGAAAGGAAAAAGAAGAAUGUAUUUGUUUUUUUUUUUGUUUAAAAAAAAUCUAUUUCAUUGCCAGACCAGAAUAAUAGGUAGUAUACGCAUGUGUUGAAAGUUCAUAAAGAAGAAUCUAAUCUGCAGCAAGAAAAGGAAAAGGCCCUUUUAACUCGAAUUGUUUACGAAAAAACUUCUGAAACUUUACACUGAUGAGAGACAAUUACUUAAACGGGGGAGGACUUUGUGAAAUUUGACUGUUGAUAAUCGGAAGCUUGGUAGGUCUCUUGGGAUGAGAGAUCAGUUGGUGGAUUCUGGAUAAAAAUGGCAAAUGUAAAAGCACGCAAGCUAGGCUAGAUGUGUUUCGCUCCGUCAGGUUAUUCGGUUCAGUUGGAUCACCCUAUAAAUUAGAGUAGGCUCCUUCCUUGAGAGUAGGAGUAGGUUAGACUAGAUUAAAUAUAUUUUUACGAAAAAAAAAGGAAAAGGAAAUUGUAAAUAUUAGUACUAGUAUACUACUGCUACGUGUUAAAGAAAGGUAAGGACAAUAAACGUCAUUAAUUUCCUAACUAGAGAGCUAAGUGCUACUACAGUACUUGUUUAAUUUUGAGACUUUUUUUCCAACAAAAAAAUGGGUAAGAAUUUUGGGGGGAUGAGGGUAAAUAAAUAGAUAAGGCAGGAAAGAAAGAAAAAAAGAGAAGAAGCAAAGUUGAUUUAUUGGCUCAAGACAAAGAUGCCUGCAUGUACUUGGUGUAUCAAUCAAGUCAAUAGAAUGUCCCAAAUCAUAAACAAGGCGGAUGGGAUUGGGAGUGAGGAAGGUAGAAGGAUGAGGCGCGAGGAGGGGGCGGUGGUGGGAAUGGGGAUUGCUGCCCAAAGCAUAUCGCCAAAUCAAUCCAUAUCCAUUCAAUGCAGUGUGAGCGUGGUAGUGCAUUAAUAUGAAUGUCUCCACCAUACAUCCUACUGUUACUUACUUGUGUUUUGACUAACUCGAGACGCUGUCUCUGUUAAAUUUACUCUCAAUCCCAAAGCCCACAAUAAGUUGUUGGAACAAUAAAUUACAUUCAUAAGAAUCAGGCCACUUCUUCUUCUUCCUGGUUUUUUUUUUUUUUUUUUUUUUGUCUUGGGGGGCGGGGGGUGGGGUGGGUUGUAUAUAUAUAUAUAUAUAUAUAUAUAUAUAUAUAUAUUCGGUUGACUGGGUUAUGUAAUGCGGAUUUCCGUCUCCCAUCUGGGUUAUGAAAUUUGUUCUAGUGUAUUUUUAUCUGUCGUUUUAUUAUCCCCAUACAGUAUUAAUUAUUUUUUUCACAAUUUUACCCUUUUAUCUCUCUUUUUCAACACAGGGUUCUUAAUUACUACUCCUAGUUUGGUGGGAGUUAGUUUGCAUUGCUUUUGGCCUAGUAAAACAGCACCAUUUAGUACUCUAGUGAGAGAAAACAUGGGUGAAUUAGACAAUUAAUGAGGGUACAAAAGGAAAGUAGUGUACAGAUUUAAGCAAUGAAAAACUUUUCUUAAUUGGUGUGUAAAACCUUAAACGUCAGUUAUAAAAAAAAGGAAGGGAGUAUUAGGUUGUGUUUGGAUUGCAUUUUCUGUGAUUUUUUAUGGAAAAAUUACUGUAGCGAUUUGAUGUAUUGUGAGGAAAAAAGAUAAUAGAAAAAUGUGAUCACGAAAAAUGACGUAAUUUUUCGACGGAAACUGGCAAUCCAAACAAGUUCUAAUUACUACUGCUACUACUUACGUUAUGUCCGAGAAGGGGCCUUGAAGACAACACCAGCAAGUAGUGAAGUGGGAAAAGGCGCAAAAGUCUCUGUCAAAUAGAGAUAGAUAAAACAAAAACGUUGCUUUCAAUAAUAUCUUGGACCGUAAAUACCAAUAUGGUCCAGGUCUAACCCACGUGAUGUUGCUGAGUAUUAAAAAUCCUAAGUCUCCUUCUUCGAUUUUUUUUUUUUUAAUAUCACAUUUUAGCAAACCUUUUUUUUUUUUUUUUGGUUUGGGUCAAAAGGAAUGCAAAGGCCGUCACCGAAAAACAAGUAAGUAAUUCCACAAGGAGAAAUAAUUUUCCGAAGGAAACUCUGAAAAGCCUUGGCCUCUCAGUCUCUUUCCGAAACACACGACGGUUUUGCUUGCAAAUUUCUGUUUCGGGCCUGCCUCACACGCACAGCUAAUUCACCCAUUCUAUUCUCUAUGCAUCCCUUUUUGACAAUUGUCAAUGCCAAGUACUUCAUUUAUUUAGUACUACAAAGUACUUGUCUUUUCAAACUCAAUCGUGCCAGCGAGAGAACCUCGUUUUAAGGUUGUAGGCAAAGUUUUUUGCUGGAUUUGUUUGCAUUGACGAUUAUUUGGGGGAAAAAUUACUAUAAUAACUGUUGAUAUCGCUUGUGAUGUGAUGUGAUACCUAAGUAUAUGUGAAGUGAGAAGAUAGUUAACAAAAUUUUAAAUAAAAAAAUGACAAAACCGUGUUUGAGGAACAUCUAAAUUCUACAUUACUCCUUUUGAAACAAAUGUUGGAAAAAAAGUUUUAGGAAAAUUACGUUUCUCCAACUAUAUUUUUAUUACACAAACACCAUUUUCCAAAAAAAAAAAAAAAAGGAAAAGUUGUCAGAGUGAAAAUUCCCUGAAAAGCAACCCUCCAAAUGGAAUUUAUUUUUGGAAAAGCAAUUGACGUAAAUCGUGUGGUACAGAGCCUCUGUUUUUUCAUCUAAACAAUUACUUAUGUGGUAUGAACAGAUUUACAUUAUUGUUCUCAGCUCAGAUUUUGUCAUUACCCAUUAAAAAGUGAAAAUUGUCACGGUCAUAAGUAUAGAACGGGCUAAUUUCCCCUUGUAUUGUUGAAGAAAACAAAGAUCAAGAAAGUGUGGUCUUGACACGGGUUAUUAGGAUUUCAAUUUAGAAUGCUCACACAUUCCAAUCAUUGUUCCUGCGUCUCUCCAUAUUAGUAUUGCCUUUUGUCGACUAAAACGUUGUUGGAUGAAGUUCCGACAUCAUCGUGGAUUCCGCGUUGUCGUCGAGCUGCAUGCACCAUUAUAUUUGUUCUGUAAAUCUGUUAGAAUGAAAUGGACCGCUGCUUUUGCAUCAAAAUCAGUCGCACUGGAACUUCCAGCAAAUUCUGUCCAAUUUAAAGCACAUCCAUCGAGUUGAGCAGUACCACGACGGAGCAGCGCUUGAAAUAUGGUUGUGGUGGUCUAUGGCAGUCGAGUUUCCUAUGAUUGCCUUCUACGUAUCUCAGAUUUGAGACAAAUAUGUUUCCGCAUUAAUUGUCUGAAGAUUUCCAGCCAACCGAAUUACUCUAGAAUUCAGAUCUUAAGUCACUUUCACGCAUUGCGAAUUAUUUUUUGUUUGAGAUGGAUCCCCAAGACCAAGAUUGUUCAUCGCCUUAUAGUAUUCCUUUUGCUUGGCUAAGCAUUUCUCUACUCAAAUCCUGCAAAUUGAUCAUCGGCAGUUUUCUUUCAUCUUUUCUUUUGAACCCAUGCCACGUAUUUCAACCCCCUGUUGAUUGGUUUUUUUUUUUUAUCGCAACGAUAACAUUUGUAUAAUCUACUCUAAGGAAAAGAGGAGAAGCUGACGAAAUUUUUCGGUCAACCAUCAUUAAGUGGCAAGGUGAAUCCUUGACCUUCCAUCCCCUAUUGAUUGGUUGCUUCCUCAAUUGUUGUCUAACUGCCUUUUUUUCAACUCCAGUAAAUGACUUUUUGUUGAAAUAAUUAAAUCCAAUCCCAGAUUAACCUCUAAAAGUCGGAACCCUUGAAGUCAACCCAAGGACUUAACUACCCAAUCCAAACCCCCCGGAAUCGAUGUGGGACUACUAAACUAGGACUGUAGAGCGCCUGCUGCUAAGUGUUGUCUAGCUGCCUUUGACAUCAUCAAAUUCCUCUACCAACGUCAAACCUCAAAAGAAGCACUCGGGCCACUUUUGAAUGGGCUACUAUUGUAGUAGCAGUGUGAGAGACGAACGGGAGCAUUGUACGGGCUCGAAAGAUGGCAUAGAUAUGCUACCUCUGAUUUGUAGGCCUUUUAAUCCACUAGAAAUGGGCUCAACGAAGUCCAAGAAAAUGUACCAACCGUUGAUCUCAUCAGGGUCAAGAGCCUCAUGCUACGUCACCGUUUCAUCUUCUUUCGGUGGAAACUGGAAAGUUCUCCCGCCACAUAAAAAUUUCCUGCCAUCGUUGCCCCGAUCCCCAUCCCGCGCUUCGGUCUCUCUCUCUAAAGCCUAAAGCCAUGGCGACGACGAUAUCUCCUCCGCCGCAAACACUAAUAUUAAAACGAUCGUCAAUUUCCACUUCCGUUUGUUUUCCGUCAUCUCAAAGGCUAGUGUCAGCACCCCAGACUUGUUCAGUUUCAGUUAACUCUGUCAGUUCAAUCCAUUUCCCAAAAUCCAAAAGGCUAAAUCGUUCUCCGGCUAGAGCUCAAGCCUCCUCGGUUGCUUCUUUUUCCCAGAAUGUCGGGGAUUUGCUGGGUGAUGUCAGCAUCUUCACCGCCACCGGCGAGCCCGUCAAGUUCAAAGACCUCUGGGAUCAAAAACAGGUAAUUCACCCACACUUAAAUUUAUACUGGUGGAGUAGUUUUUUACGCUUUUUUUAAAAUUUUGAGAAUUACAACAUUAGCUAUGCGCUUUUAUCAGAUGAUGAUCAUUGACCGUUAGUUCCUAAUUUUACCGCCAGCGCUUCUUUUUUUUUUUUUUUUUAUAAAUAAUUUUAACUAAAAUCACACUGCCCUAUUAUUUAACCCAUGAUAUCCUGAUUUUAUUUUUUUAAUUGGUAAUUGUCUUUUAGUCUAAUUCUCGAUCAGGGGAUUUUUGCUAAAUCUUCCUUUUUUGUUUCUAGGGAAUGGCAGUUGUUGCUCUGUUAAGGCAUUUUGGGUGUCCUUGCUGGUAAGCACGGAGCCAUGCAAGCAAAUGCUAUUUUCUGUGAUGGUUGCCUGCUUGAUCUUCACACUGGUGCUUUUUAAUGGCUUUCUUUGUUCACAAUCAUUUAGCUGGGAACUUGCUUCAGUACUUAAAGAAUCAAAAGAGAGAUUCGACUCUGCUGGCGUGAAGCUAAUUGCUGUUGGUGUUGGUGCGCCCAGCAAAGCUCGCAUUCUUGCUGAGAGGGUUUGUCUCUUGCAUUUCAUAGCCGCCUUUUUUUUUUUUUUUUGGUUAACAUGAACUUCAAAAGAUUUCUCUUAACAUUUAUUACUUCGAAGAGUCUAAACUAUUUACUAUGUGAAAUAGGAUUGACGUUGGGUUCGAUUAGGAUGUUUAGAUGGUAGCUUGACGUAUAUUUGACAUCCAUGAUCUAAAUUCUGGAUUAUAACUAAGCCUGGUGUCAAGUUACUGCAAAACAAGAAACAAAGAGUGCAGUAAAUCGCACCAGAUUGCACUAUCUGCUCUUAUGAUUUCUUCAAGAAACUCGAGACCUUUUUGCAGUCGUUUUUCAAAAGGAUUUUGGUUUGCCAGUGUUCAAAAUGUUGGAUAUGUCAUAAGCGUGCAGAAAUGAUUCUUGUGAAUAAGCAAUGGAGUUCAUUUUGUCUGCCUGUGCCACAUUUGGUUGUGCACCAUUUCUUGCCUCCUUGGUUAGGAUGUCUGGCUGGAAUGGCAGAAUGGGACUUGCCUCCUGAGUUUCAUGGAAGCUUAUCCACUUAUGGAGGCCUAGUGUAUCAAUGGUUAUUCCUAACCGUACCUGUCCAUGGUUUUCAGUCUGUUUUAGGUCAUAUUUGGGCAAUUAAACUUGCAAUUUGGCAAGGCUGCCAGCAAUAUAACUGCUGAUUGAUUAAGAUUGUGAGGCUGAGUUAUUCUAUAAAGAUGAGAUUCUACACUGGAUUUCUUUAAUGUGUAAUAUGCUGGCAUGGGGUUUGUAUCAUUUUAAAGUAUAGUUGAGUAUAUAUGAAAAGGAUCCAACGAUCCAUUUCUUCAGCAUCAUUUUGCUCUGAGAAAGAUUGUUUUGUCGAUUAUUUCCACAAUUUGAUUUCAAGUAGUUUUUCAUGCUAUUGUUUGAGCUGAUGCUUCUGGUAAUGUUCUUGUAUGGCCAGUUACCAUUUCCAAUUGAUUGCCUCUAUGCUGACCCUGACCGUAAGGUAAUAGCUUGUGUGUUCUCAGUUAUUGCCAGUUCAAUUUCUUCCGUUUGCCAUCCUAACUCUGAUGCUUUGUAUCUCAGGCAUAUGAUGUCUUGGGCUUGUAUUACGGUGUCGGUCGAACAUUUUUCAACCCCGCAAGUGUAAUAUUUUCUGUUGUCUUAUUAUCGUUAGUAUUUUUGGUAAAAUGGGUUUAUCAUCAAAACUAGCGUUUUUGGUAAAUUCUUUUUGGACCCUGACCUAACAGGCUAAAGUUUUUUCAAGAUUUGAGACUCUACGAAAUGCUGUAAAGAACUACACUAUUGAAGCCACCCCAGAUGAUAGAAGUGGAGUCUUGCAACAGGUUUGAGCUCGUAACCUUUAGGGUCCCAGAUCAAUGUUACUCUUCUCUCAACAUUUUGAUUUUCUCUUGAUUAGGGAGGGAUGUUUGUAUUCAGAGGAAAAGAAUUGCUAUAUGCUCGGAAGGAUGAAGGGACCGGUGACCAUGCUCCCUUAGAUGACAUCAUUAAUAUCUGCUGCAAAGUCCCCAUUUCAUGAAGUCUUUCUCUGCUCUCUCUCUUCUAAAAUGGUGCUUUCUGGUGUAUCUGUCAUUAUUAAAGUUAGAUAACCAAUAUCUAACGGCUGUUUUUUAUAAUGCCUUCAGCAUAGCACUUACCAUUUUUUCUGUUGUCUGUUCACUAUAGUGUGAACUGCUCUCCAUCUCGCGCGCAUAUGUAAUCAUGUAAAAUUUUGUGUAUAUCGCCCCCGAGGUAGUCCGAUUGGUUCCGUAGUUUGAUAGUUACUAGCAGGUCUCGUGAUCGAUCCUCGUGUGCUACCUCACUGUGUAUCCUUGGGGCAAGGCUCUACACAAUUUUCGAAAAUUAGUCUGGUCGAAAGGAUGGAAUAUCCUUAAGUGAGAGAAAGAAAGUGUAUGUAUAUCGCUGUUCUGUUCUUGAAAUUACUAACUAAAGACUCUUGAGAAUAAUUUUACAGGCUGGGUAAGCUUAAGUAUGUCCGCAUAGUCUUUUUGCGCUUGCCCGGACUGUUAUUGAUGCACUAAGCUUCACGGUCACUGUUAUAGCUACAACAGAAAAUGGAUAGCUGUAUAUGUGAAGCGAGCUACUUGAAUACGCUCAAGGACGUGCAACUGUGCAAGCAUACUCAUGGGUUCCGGCGGUGGAAAACUAAAAACUGUGAAUAGGAUUAAGACGUGAUAGUUUCUCGGAUCAGAUGAUCCCUUUGUUUUUUUUUUCUUUUUAAAUGUUCAGAAGAAAUGGAUGAUAGUAUUUGAAUUACUAAACAAGUUUGACAUCGUCAUUUAGUCCAAACCACUACAUAAUCCUAACAAGAAGCUAAAUGCAAGCUGAAUGGAUCUUUAGUGAUGCAUUUCCAGACUACCUUUUCAUCUCUUACCCCAAAAAAAAAUGGUAUUGUCCCUUUUUAAAUAACUGGCCCUUGAAUUCUGUGGUUCCAAGUUCAUUGGAAAUAGAUAUCAAGAUAAACUUAAAUAGUGUGAAUCUUUCCAUUCUAAUAAUGUAGAGGAAGUCCAUUUCCUGGUUGCGAAAGAGAAAGCCCUCCUGAAUGGCAAAAUGGAACCAUUUCCAAGGACGUGCAAGCAGAGACAUGAAAGGCACUUGCGCCCAAAAUGGGUGACGGAUGUAGAAUCUUCUUUGAAUGAAAGCAACCCCACCCUGAGAUACAGAGUGGUCUUGUUGGCAAAAUUUUGCUAUUCCACUCGCAUUCAGAUUGUAGAGGACCAGAGGUAUCCUCGGAUUGGAUACUAUUUUAGGUUACCUUUCUUUGCCUGGUGAGAUAAAAAAAAAAAAGAAGUUAUUAAUGCAGCAUCCUUCGCAUAUUUUGGGUUUUGGCUCUUCAUGUAUCUGGAAGAGAGCAAGAAUAAUGACACUCCAAAACUGUAGUUUAAUCACCUGAAGAGUGAAGUCUAUCAUUUCUUACAAGAAAGAUAAAAGUUUUACUGUGAUUCAUCGUAAUUACAAACAUUGAAUUUGAUUAGGAAAGUGAUACUGAGAAUUGAGCCUUUUACAGCUGCAACAGAAUUAUAACAUCCUAAAUUGAACCAAAUAAAGGGUCCUUUUUGGAAAAUCGAAGCUUGACCAUAUCACAUUUAAGCCCACAUCAGAAUGCAGCCUCACGUUCGUUGGAGCUUUUUAUGAAUUUGUGAUGGAAAAUCAAAUGAGGUUGUCCUGUAUGGUCCAUGCAAGUCUAAGGUCCCCCAGAGUUCAUAUCAUACAACUAAAAGAAAGCAAAAAGGAAGACUAAUAGUACUAAGUGUACUGACAGUGCACGCGAAGGUGCUAUGGACGAAUGAAAUUUACGAUUGCCCUUUUUUUUUUCCUUUUUUUUUUUUGGGGUUUUUGGGGUUUCUUUGCAAAAUGCAAAGGUAUUGGUAUGAUGAGCCAAUUGCCAUUUUGGAUCUAGAUGGUAGAUAGAGAGAAUCUUAGGUGAAUGUGACAAGACACACAUGCCGUAGAAGAUGACAUUUCACACACACUCAGUGUAGUGUGAGACAGAGAGGAGAAACUGAGAAAGAGAGAGAGAGAGAGAGCAAAUAAAGAGAAUGAGGUUAAAAGAUUUGCUGUGGUGAGAGAGUUACAAACGAGGGGGACUUUAAUGGUGUAGAGAUAGGUCUCUCUCUGGGAGCUUAAAAGGGCAAGCAGCUGCUAGCCCUUUUGUUCUCAUGCAGAACCGCAGGCCACACCCAUUGGGCUCUGUGGUCGUUCUCAGCUAAGUUGCUAUCCAUCAUCUACUUUUUCUGUUGACUCCUCCUCCUGCCCAAUGCCCAUAGCUGUGAUCUUAUUUAGAUUUUGUGUUCCCACCUGAAUUCUGAAACCAAUCCGCAUCCUCUUUAAAGUGCACUGCCAUGGACUCUGCCUUUAUUUUUUUUUUUCCAAGUUAAAAUCGCUGAUUCCUUCUCUACCAUGAAUUCCCUGACAGCAACAUACGUGUUUCAAAUUUGUUUAUAACCAAGACAAAGUUUGUUCGUUAAAAAAGAAUCAAGAUUUGCCUGGGAUUCAAGUAUAUACUGUUGUCUUUUCUAACAUAUUUCAUUAGCAAAACGAAGCUGAAUUAGCAGAAUUUUGAUGAUAAAGUCACCGUCGGCCAACAGCAUGCAAGUAUAGUUUGCUGGCUAAUAUGGCAAAUAAUAUUUCAUGUAAGUCGGCACGUAGGAUAUGCGCCAGGCCAAGCGGGUAGAGUCGCAUAAUCAGAGAAUUUAGAUGAAAAUCCAUCGAAGCCGGCUGACGUAACGUGACAUUAGUAUAUGCCAUUGCACUAUAGCAUAUGCUCCCUGAAUACGUAAAACAAGAGGCAAUAUUGGCGGAGUAAACAUAGAUCUUCAUCAAUCUCUUCUUAAUUAAAGUUAUAAGAAGCAUAAUGCGGUACAUCAAGAUUGGACACCAUCCCGAAAUAGGAACAAGGAUGAGUGAAGGCAAGGUCGUUCUGGUCACAGGAUGUGCUAAAGGGGGCAUCGGUUAUGAAUAUUGCAAGGCAUUCGCCGAGCAAAAUUGUCGUGUUUUCGCAUCUGACAUCCCCACCCGCAUGCAUGAUAUGUUAGAAUUAGAGUCGGUCGACAAAAUUGAGACACUUGAGCUUGAUGUUUCAUCAGAGGACAGUGUCUCAUCGGCUGUGAAUUCUGUGAUAUCAAAAUGUGGCAGAAUAGACGUAUUGAUCAAUAAUGCAGGAAUAGGAAGUGCUGGCCCUUUAGCUGAGCUGCCGUUGGAGGUAGUGAGAAAAGCGUACGAAGUCAACACUUUGGGGCAAUUAAGGAUGGUUCAACACGUAGUCCCUCAUAUGGCUUCUCAGAGAUGUGGUAGCAUAGUGAAUAUCGGGAGCGUUGUUGGAAAAGUGCCAACCCCGUGGGCUGGCUCCUAUUGUGCUACCAAAGCUGCAGUACAUGCCAUGUCCGACGCUUUGCGGGUCGAGCUGCGGCCAUUUAAUGUCGAUGUGAUCUUGGUGCUUCCGGGUGCUGUAAGAUCAAAUUUUGGUGACACCAACAUGGAGAAAUUGGGAAACUAUGAUUGGAAACUUUAUAAAGAAUUCAAGGAAGCUAUUGCCGAGCGAGCAAGGGCUUCCCAGGGUAGCAAAGCGACAGAUGCAGCCCUUUUUGCUAGACAUGUAGCAAAGAAAGUAUUGAGUCCUAGACCACCAAAGCAGGUUGUGUUCGGUCACAUGACUGGGUUGUUUGCUCUGCUUUCGUGGUCGCCCCUUUGGGCUAGAGAUCUCUUUUUCUCUACUCGAUUCAAGCUAAAUAAGAAAGCCUUCCUGUAAGGGAGUUGCAGUGCUGUAGAUUGUCACAACGUAUGCAUUUGAAAACAUUUUACCGCUGGUUUUUUUUUUUUUUUUUCCACCAAAAACACGGCCAAUGUUCAAGUUCCAGUACAUGUUCUUAAAACUUCCAACAGUGACAUCUAACAACUACAAUGUUAUCCGGACAAGGAAGAGCAAUUCUUUCCUGGUUAACUAGCAGGUUUCCCAGCAUAAAGUGUCGGUACUAUACACAAUCAUACAGUAGUACCAAACAGAAGAUAGGACCAUCUGCAGAUGAAUUGCUCCCCACACCCCAAUCUUCCCCCGCCCAAAAUUUAGAAAACUAAAGCCCGAAUUAAGGGAUAAUGCAUUUCCAAAUAUGCUCCCAGGGGGGAUGGGCAUAAAACAAGGUGGGAUGUCUAUGUGUAGACAGAAAAUUAUAAGGAGGUCUGACUUCUGAGUAGUCAAGGACUAGAGCCGUUUAUCAGACCAAAUUUUCCUGGGAAUAAGGGAUUAUGAGUUGGCCUAUUUGAAGCAGACAAAGAAGAGAAAUGUGGCUCCACCGACCCCUGCUUCCAAAUUUCCAAUUCCCAUCUGCUGGAUGGAGUGACAUUUUUGUUCAGGUAGGGAACGAGCCCCCUUUAUGAGGCCCAGUAGUAUUUUGGGCAAUUUGCUAUCGGCCUGUCGUGGAUGGUUGGAUAUUACUCAUCAUUUCUAUUAUAAGAAAAAGGGUCCAUGACUCUUUGCCGCAGCAGCAUCCUCCAUCUUUAGUACGUUUUACUUAACUCUCCCUUUUAAAAAACGAAUCAUUUCUGCUAGAAAAUCUGUCUCCAUUAGCGUUCUGCAUAAUUAACAUUUAACAUCCGCGAUUAAGAAUGUAAGGUUGAAAUUUCCUGAGGUACAAAGAUCUCGUACCUCCUCCGUACU
rnacentral:lncRNA from 1 species